ACGAUUCUUCUUGUGGCUUUUCCAUAUCUCAAUCAAACCCUCACAAUCUGUUUUCAGGUGAACAUUUGUUUAAUAAUCUCUAAUGGGUUUAAACUUUUUACUGUCGACUAUACUAAAAAAAUCAUCAUUUGACAGAAUAAAAACAUGACUCAACCGAAUAGCAUUUUCAUAAUGUACAUGAACAAUACUUACUGGAACAUUCGAGACUUUCAUGGGGAUAUAAAGCUACUUUUGGUCAUCCAUCAAGCGGAGCUGAAAGAGAACAGAGAUGGCUUCAAAAGUUCAAAUCCUUUACAGAAGGUGCUCCAAGAUUCUUCCUGAACUUGUUGUGGCUAUCAUUGGGACGCCUCACCACCUUUAGUAAAUAAAAAAUAUGCAUAUAUAUGCAGAGUAAGAAGAUGGAUUUUGUUCAUCGAUCUUACCUAUAAAGCAAUCAUCAACAUACAAAACAAAGGCAAAUAUAGCAUGAUUUUUUCUAAUCACAGGGAGCAAUCAGCCUACCAACACAGGCACAUAUCUAUGAAUUUUCAAAAUGCAUACACCAAACAUACUACAAACACCAGUACAUAAUUUAGUAAUUUCCUUACUGCAGAGAUCAACCAGCCUGAAAACAUAGGCUCUCGUAUAGUAAAAAUUAUCUAAAUACAGGGAGCAAACAGUCUGCAACCACCAGUACAUAAAUCAGAAAUCUUUUCACUACAGAGAGUAAUUAGCCUGCAUCCGUACUUUCAGAGACUACAGGCGCCUGAAUUUUGUGAAUGCAGAGAACAAAUCAGUGUGCAAACACAGGCACAUACAGCAGGAAAUUUAUUAAUGCAGACAGCAACCCGCACUUGCUCUAACUGCAUGAUAUAUUCAGUCAUUUCUACUUCCAUUUUCUAAGUCACAGAAUAUCGGAUGGAAGGCAAAGUUUCUACUUCACCAACCUUUUGUUCCACCCCGGUGCUUGGGGAUUCAUCUUCCCCGUCGACAGCUCCGACCUUGGUGGCGAGCUCUCCCUUCUGUUCGCCGCCGCCUCCUUUGCCAAGAAGAUUUGUGCUUCGCCGCUGUCCACCGCCGUUGCGCUGCCUCCCGCUCCGCCUGCAAUGCCACUUGCAGAUCCGCCAUGGCAGAGACAUUGACAACCACAGGAACCGGCUCCCCUACCUCCUCAAGCAGACUAAAUCUGAAUCUUGCAACAAAUCCAUCUCUAGAUCAGCUAACAAGAGGGCUACAAAAUGGAGGCAACAUCCCUGGAAAAAGCAAAGAUCCAUGCACCUGCUAAUUAGUUGCACCAGAAACUCCAUGGCGGCACGCCGGCGACGCCAGUUGCUUCCGUCCCCGGGUCUUUAGCUUCCAAAUGACACACGCCGUAGCCGAGAAGAAUCUCGGUCCUGCCCUCAAUUCGUUUCUGCUGCAAUCACUACACGGAAAGCCCAUUUCCUGGUCCACGGAUCAGACGGGGAUGCGGGCUCUGAUCCACACGGCUCACCACGCGAGACCGACGGCCGUACGCACUAUCCUCAGAUCCGUCAAACCUGCCCUGCAGUAAUGGCCCACCACCCAGCGCUGCCGCAUACGUAUUUCGCUACAGCACUCGAUUUUCUCGCGAACCGCCUGGGCGCGUAUAGAACUCUGGCACAGAUCCACGAGCGCUAACUGACGACGUAGAUAACGAGCUCAUUUGAGCUCGAGCGCAAUUAGUCCGCGUCCAUUAACACAAGUGAAAAUUGAAUAGGCUCUUCGUCUGAAUGGAAAUCCAAGUCGUUUGCUUUAGAACAUAAUUUAUAUCUGAUACCAUCCAUGUAUUCUUGGAGUGCAGUAAGAAAAAAAAUGCUUCUAAAAUCCAAUGGCCCAAUUGAUUUUGUAUCAUAUAUAGUGGUAGGAUCCAAGUGACCACCAAACUGCCAACCACUACAGGAUAUCCAAUUAUCCAUACCGAAUAUCAAAAGUUGAUCCAGCAAGUGAAAGGAAUUGGAAGUUUAAUAAUGGUACUCUAUCUAUUUUUUUUUCAGAAACACAUAUCAUCUGAGACAAGAAAUUGUUGAAGAAUGAUAACUGCUAACGAAUUGCCGUACAUUUUUUUGAAAAAAAGAACUGUUGUAGAGAAACCAACAGAUGCACUCACUCAAAUAUGGAGCAGCUCAUCUUCACGGUAAAAUUUUAAGCUCUUUAUAGUUUAUUAACAUUCAAAUUAUGCAAUACCUGCAGGAAAGGGCAAAUGAUUACCUCGAACAUGAAUGGGGAAAUGAUGUCGUAAAUUAUUUCCCAUAUAUAUAAAUAGCAUUAACUCGUUCUUUACUCUGCGGUUUUUCUUUUCCCUUGCUCUGCUAGCUGGGCUUAUACUUCAGUUCUGAUGAAGAAUUUCAGUUUUGAGAAUCAAUGCAUAUAUACAUCAAAUAGCAUUAAGAGAAAACAUCAUACCUUCACCCUUACCAUUCCUACCAAGUGAGACAUCCGCCUAAAUUGUCAGACCUGAAAGUUAUAGAAUUAAAAUGACCUUUUUUAGGGGUGAACUAACAUGAAUUGAUUUGUGUAAAGAAAAUACAUUCAACUCCCAUCUGCGCCGUCCUCACGUUGUAGUAAACCACCUAGGCACCUACGAAAAAGGCAAUCAUCUCCGUCGUUUCUAUCUCUAUGUAUACACCGUUGCCAUAGAGCUAGUGUUUCGAGGCUCGUGGUCGUUAUCCUUCCCGAAUCCACCUUGCCCCCAUAGGCCACCAUGGCUGAUUGGUUGAACAAAAAUGCUGCACUUACUGGCAUAAGAGGGAGGGACUUGCCUCGUGUGUACCAUCUUUUCAUGCGUUUGCCUUCUGAAGCGAGCACGAUGGUAACUGGCAAGGAUGGAAGGGGGGCUAUAUAGGAGAUUGCAAUCGCAUGAAGGGAAGCCAGCGUGAAACUCCCACCCAACACCAGGAAAGAGGAGUUUGCGGAGAAGACGGGGUGGUGGGCUCUAGGGUACGGAGGAGAGAUAAAUAGGCUCGUCAAGGGAGGAGGAGGUGGAAGGGCAGUAACGUACACCGCGGCACCUCCACGGACAUUAAACGCAACACCGCGGCGCUUGAAGCAUUGUUGCCUCGCUCGCUCGUUCGAUGAAGCCUCUUCAUCUCCGUGUAACCUUGGCAUCCGAGCGAGUUUUUUUAACCUUGGCCUCCGAACGAGGAGGCCAGUGCCGGUGUUUAUUUCCAUGGGCAAAUGCACCUUCGGUCACACACCACAGUCCAUUUGGCCCAAAACCACAGGGGGCAUCCGAAGUUGUUUCUAGAGCAGCGGCCCAGUCCCAUUAGGCGCUCGGUGCUGAAUGUACAAAUCCAGUAUGAGGGAUUUAACGGCCACGAACAUCCAAAUCGCAAAUCCAACGGUUCGCAACACUAAUGGCCUGAGAGGGCUCGAUUAGUGCGCAACUUUAAUGUUUCUAAAUAAUUGACGGAUACCACUUCACACGAGUCCUGAUGGACGGUGGCAGCAGUCUAAACCUGAUAUACCAGGAUGCAAUCCACGAAAUGGGGAUAGAUCCAACAAAAAAUUGCCAUAGCAAUACUACCUUUAAAGGAGUAACGCCAGGCCCAAGGGCUCACUGCAUAGGCUCCCUGCUACUAAAGGUUAUAAUCGGCUUUCCCGAUAACUUCCGUAACGAACAUUUAACCUUCCGCAUCGCUCCGUUCCAAAUUGGCUAUCAAGCACUAAUCGGACGCGAAUCUUUCGCUCGCUUUAAUGUAAUACCGCACUACGCUUCCCUCACACUCAAGAUGCCCGGCCCACGUGGCAUCGUUACAGUGAACGGAAGUAUUAAGCGAUCUUUGCGCGCCGAAGAGAGUGGCAGCCGCACACUAAAAACGGCCUCACCAACUAAAGCAUUUAACAGGUCGUCAAGACCUCGGACACAGUUAGACGAGUCCGGCGCAGCUAUAUGUAAUUCAUACCGGAUCAAUGGUCACACCCCUAUUACAAAUACAAGGGGCUCAACGCGCGCAGACAAGUGGCAAUUUUUACUCAUCUUGAAUUAUACAUGGUUUCUUUAAAAACUAUCUUUUUGCACGACAACUUUUUCACCUAAGUUCCCCUCUUUUAUAGAUGAUCAUCGUGCUACACCCGUCCAGGAUACGGCACAAUGGAGACACAGACGCAGACGUGCAGCAGGGACCCGCUCCAAGGAUUCUUUUUAGAUUAAGACCCUGCGUAAACCUUUUUUACUGUCUCUUGUUGAUACACAUCCACCGAAUUCUCAGCACAGUUGAGAAUGAUGCUGACGUCUUGGCAUGUGGCCACGUCAGAAUAAUGCACGUACCUGGACACAAGGGGCUUCUUACAAAGAGCACUAUUUAUGCCCGGUUUAUACCAUAAAGACCGAAUACCUUAGGGAGUGUUCGGCGUCUCGAGUUUGGCCUUAUAUGCAUCAGCUCCGAAUCAUUGUCUCUGGUCAAAUGUUGUGUUUGUCCGGCUCCUGUGUUUUGGUGCCUUAUGUUCCGCUUUAUCGGCUAAGGUAGCACCAGGAGAAUUACUGCGAUUGUGCCCUGGUUCUUCCGGACGAGCACCUUAGUAGAGAAAGCCGAAAACUAACUGUCAUGAUAUAGCGUGAGACUGGUCAACCACUCGAUGACCUAUCGGAAUGUUAGAAUUCCUCCGCCUUAACGAAGGGCCGUUUUCCGGCCAGGCAUGUACGCACCUCGCGAUCGAGAGAGUGCGGAGCCACCAGGGGCUAUCUAGUAGCCCCACUGUCAAAUUCCUAUGUCUAAGUGAAAGUGUUAAAGCAUUAUAGUCCGGUUGCCUCGUUCGCUACGCUAUCACCUCCUUAAUAGGACCAAGACGUUGGGUUAAGUGUGAACACACGUUUUUCGCGAGCACCUCUGCAUUAUAUGCGUGGGGGUUGAAGCCGACGGCUGCAAUCUUCCAGGUUGUACACAUGUAUACAUAAACGGCCGCACAUGAGGCAUCGCACUACUUUCAGGCAAAAGUAUAAACAUAGCCUUAUAAAACUUCAUAAAAGCAUUAUGUUUACAAUGAGAAUACAUAUCACUCAAACAUAAUAUCCUUCGAGCACCGGGCCUCUAUCAAACGAGCACCCUCGAGAACCUCCUCGAAAUAGUGCUCGGCAGCCACUCGGCCUAUGGCCGAACCCUGCACCGCAACAGUGGUAGCGUCCAUCUCCGCCCAGUAUGCUUUAACACGGGCAAGGGCCAUCCGCGAGCCUUCUAUGCACGCCGACCUCUUCAUCACAUUAAUGCGCGACAGCGCACCAAGGAACUGCUGCACUAAGCUGAAAUAGCUGUUCGGCUUUGGCUUUUCCGGCCAUAGAUGAUCCACAACAUACCUCAUGGCGAGUCCGGACAACCUAUUCAGUUCGGCCCAUUCGGCUAGCUGGUCAGUCAAUGAAAGCGGACACUCUGGAACGUUGAAUUGCGACCAGAACAGCUUGUCCACUUCACGAUCUGUCUGGCCUUGGAAGUACUUGGCCGCAUCGGCAACGCUCGCUGCCAAAUCCAUAUAUGCAUCUGCCGAACUCCAUAGCCGAUUCAGAGGGGCAUACCGUGGAUCUUCGAACUUCCUUCGUAACAUGAAGGGUUUCCCAGCCGCAAUAUCCCCGGCUUCUCGCAGCUCCUCCUUCUUCGCUCUCAUAGCAGAACGGGUGUCUUUUCCGCCAUCGUGGCCUUCUCAAGGUCCAUUGCCUUCGCUCGGUUUUCUUUUUCAAGGACCCGGCAACGGUCGGCAGUGUCUUUUAAUUCUAUGGCCAUCUUGGCCAUCUUCUCUUGGCUUUCGCAAUGUGCGGCCUUCUCGGCUUUCAACUCUUAGGCCGCCUUCAAAGCAGUCGCAUUACUAAUCCUCGCUUGUUCCUUGGCUCGGGCAAGUUUUGCCCGCAAGGUUUUCACGGUGGCAGCUCCAUCUGCAGUCACAACAUAUUAAAGAUAAUGGCAUCAUGCUGCUCUUACUAUGUGGCGUUCACCAGAUAAUAACACUUACCCCGUGCCUCCUCAAGCCUCUUGUUAACAAGGUCGAUGUCGUCGUCUGCCGCAUCCAGUUGCCAUUUUAAUUUGGCAAACUCACUAGUCCGGCUAGCCACCGGAGCUUCCAUCACCUGCACAUAGGGGCAGUCUGGUUAUUGCCUGGGAAUAUGAUCCUCUGUUCGCCGCCGUUCUCGACGACAACCAGAGUCUCAGGGGCUACUAUCUACACAGGGCACACCUAACAUGUGCAGUACUAUCACAUAUUAUCUCACGUACCUCAAAGCCUGUCAGUAGACUCAUAAAGGCUUCAUGUAAUCCGCUUUCGGCAUACAAAAUUCUCUCCAUCACCGUAUCCAUCAGCGUACGGUGUUCUUCUGAGAUGGCCGCUCGCCCCACCAACUCCCUCAGAACGUCCGACCGCAUACCAGACGGUGCUGGACUCUUUUGUCUGCUCUCUUGGGGAGCCAGACGCUGGGGACUUUGGGGGUCUAUGGGAUUAUCUUCUGGCCUCACCGAUCCGGAGAGGCCCUCCGUGACGACACUUUGGGGUCGCCCACUUCUUGAGCGGAGGAGGCCGGGGGAGGCGUUUCGCUCUCCAUCAUCUCUGGAAGAAGAUCCCUCGAAGACGAGCUCAGCUGAGAGGGGCUAAGGCCCGAACUGCAAGAUAUAUGCGGUGGUUAUUUUCUCAGAAAAAGAUAGCAUACCUUUACUAUUAAAGUAUUUUGGAUCACUUAUGACUCGUUGGAGGGCUGAUCCCCCCACAGACUUUGUGCGGAAAAAGCACCCCCCGAGGCAGGACCCUCUGUGGGAGACUUCUUCUCCCGUUUGGAGGCUUCGGCUUCUGGAUCCUCGGAAGUAGUCCUUUUCCUCCCCCGGUUAUCCUCCUUCAUGGAGACUCUCAUUCCCUCGGUUGGAACGGGCAGCGAUGGGGGCCCGCGUCUGCCCAUAUUAUCCCCCCCGUAUCUUCCUUCGAGGGCUCCGGGCAAGGUGCGACCUCGAGCAUCUUUUCCAAUACCGGAAUUUCCAAACCCUCAGGGAGGGGGACAAACACCGAAUCAUCUUCGCCUUUGUUAGCCAGUCCUAGUCAAAAAGCAAACUCUCAGAAAUAACUUCAUGACGAAUAAAAGACAGUGUGUUCGGCCAGAGGAUUUCUUACUUGUUCGGCGGCGCAGUUACUGCUCAGGCCCACGUCCCCGGUAAUAUCCGGACACUCUACUUGAGGUCUGAAGAAUGACUUGUACAUCUCCUUGUGCAUCAGGCCGAGGAAACUAUGAAUGGCACAUGGUCCCUCUGGGUUGAACUCCCACAAGCGAAGGGGCCGGCGUUUGCAAGGCUAGACUUGACGAACCAGCAUAACUUGUAUUACCACAACCAAAUUAAAAUCUCCCUCGAAGAGAUCUCGGAUGCGGCUUUGCAGUAUAGGCACGUCCUUGGCUGGACCCCAGCUCAGACCUUUGCUAAUCCAUGACAUCAGUUGUGGUGGGGGGCCUGAGUAGAAAGCGGGGGCAACCGCCCACUUGGCACUUCUAGGAGCCGUGACGUAAAACCACUCCUGUUGCCAUAAUUCGGACACCUCUGGAAAGGAACCUUUCGGCCAUGGAGCUCCUGCCAUCUUGCCUAUUGAUGCACCUCCGCACGCUGCAUGUUGCCCCUCGAUCAUCUUCGGCUUUACUUCAAAAGUCUUGAGCCACAGGCCGAAGUGAGGGGUAACACGGAGGAAGGCCUCACACACGACAAUAAAUGUUGAGAUGUGGAGAAAGGAGUCCGGAGCUAGAUCGUGGAAAUCUAGCCCGUAAUAGAACAUCAAACCCCUGAUGAAGGGAUCCAGAGUGAGGCCUAGACCUCGGAGGAAGUGGGAGACGAACACGACGCUCUCAUUGGGUUUGGGAGUAGGGACGAUCUGCCAUCGAGCAGGCAGCCGAUGCGAAACCUCGGCGGUCAGGUGUCUGGCCUCCCUCAACUUCUUAAUGUCCUCUUCCGUAAUGGAGGAGGGCAUCCAUCGGCCUUGAAGGCUGGAUCCGGACAUGAUUGAAGAUCCGGAGCACCUAACCUGGGCUUUGGGUGUUAGAACUCGAGGCGGGGGAAGGGUUCGAUUGAACACAAGGGGGGAAAAGCAAAAACCGUGUCCCUUUAUAAAAAGGGUGAAUAUCAAGCGUACUCUCCGUAGCCGUUUAGGACUUGCCUAUAAUCUAGGAGUCCUAGACACGGUUGGGUUACCCACGACCGCAUUAAUGAGAAUCCCGUAAUUGGGGGAACACGAUCUCCGCUUCAACAAGACGUGUCAAGAAACCGCCUCGCGUUAUGUGUGGAGCUGGUUAAAAGAAACGGUUCGAAUAAUCACCGGGCCAUGACAUAACGUCAUGCAGCCAAAACAAGCCAGCAAAUUAGAUUUGCGAAAAUAUUAUUCUCUCUACGGUGGAAUGUGGAACUUAUUUUGCAGGGUCAGACACUAUCCUUGUAUUCAAAUUCUUCUGUGAUGUAUUCGGAGAAGGAACCCGCCUUGCAAUGCCGAAGACAAUACUGCGCGCCGGACUCAUCGUCAUUGAAGCCUGGUUCAGGGGCUACUGAGGGAGUCCUGGAUUAGGGGGUCUCCGGACAGCCGGACUAUCUCCAUUGGCCGGACUGUUAGACUAUGAAGAUACAAGAUUGAAGACUUCGUCUCGUGUCCGGAUGGGACUCUACUUGGCGUAGAAGGCAAGCUAGGCAAUAUAGAUAUGGAUAUCUCCUCCUUUGUAACCAACCUUGUGUAACCCUAACCCUCUCCGGUGUCUAUAUAAACCGAAGGGUUUUAGUCCGUAGGACAACAACCACAACAUACAAUCAUAUCAUAGGCUAGCUUCUAGGGUUUAGCCUCUCUGAUCUCGUGGUAGAUCUACUCUUGUACUACCCAUAUCAUCAAUAUCAAUCAAGCAGGACGUAGGGUUUUACCUCCAUCAAGAGGGCCCGAACCUGGGUAGAACAUCGUGUCCCCUGCCUCCUGUUACCAUCCGGCCUAGAUGCACAGUUUGGGACCCCCUAGCCGAGAUCCUCCGGUUUUGAUACCGACAGAGAGUGAGAAUUUUGGGUUAAGUGGACGUAGCAGUAGCGCGUUUAGACAAAACGCGCUACUACUAUUAAAGUCAGCUAUAGCGGUUUUAUACAGAAACUGCUACUGCUACCUUGACCAGCUGUAGCUCUUUUUCAGUAAAGCGCUACUGCUAUAACCAGUUUCCCUUUUUCUUUUCCUUUAUUUUUCUCACUUUUUUUCCGAGAGUAGCGAACGAAGGGAAGGCGAUAUAUAUUGCAUCAUUUGACGGUUAAAUAUGUAUGCAAAAUAGGAACAUAUAUAUUACAUCAUUGGACCCAUGCAUAAUAAUGGCUAAGUUUGUAUACAAAAUAGGAACAUAUAUAUAUAUAUACACACAUCAUUUGACCGAUUCCUCAANNNNNNNNNNNNNNNNNNNNNNNNNNNNNNNNNNNNNNNNNNNNNNNNNNNNNNNNNNNNNNNNNNNNNNNNNNNNNNNNNNNNNNNNNNNNNNNNNNNNGAAUUGCCGUACAUUUUUUUGAAAAAAAGAACUGUUGUAGAGAAACCAACAGAUGCACUCACUCAAAUAUGGAGCAGCUCAUCUUCACGGUAAAAUUUUAAGCUCUUUAUAGUUUAUUAACAUUCAAAUUAUGCAAUACCUGCAGGAAAGGGCAAAUGAUUACCUCGAACAUGAAUGGGGAAAUGAUGUCGUAAAUUAUUUCCCAUAUAUAUAAAUAGCAUUAACUCGUUCUUUACUCUGCGGUUUUUCUUUUCCCUUGCUCUGCUAGCUGGGCUUAUACUUCAGUUCUGAUGAAGAAUUUCAGUUUUGAGAAUCAAUGCAUAUAUACAUCAAAUAGCAUUAAGAGAAAACAUCAUACCUUCACCCUUACCAUUCCUACCAAGUGAGACAUCCGCCUAAAUUGUCAGACCUGAAAGUUAUAGAAUUAAAAUGACCUUUUUUAGGGGUGAACUAACAUGAAUUGAUUUGUGUAAAGAAAAUACAUUCAACUCCCAUCUGCGCCGUCCUCACGUUGUAGUAAACCACCUAGGCACCUACGAAAAAGGCAAUCAUCUCCGUCGUUUCUAUCUCUAUGUAUACACCGUUGCCAUAGAGCUAGUGUUUCGAGGCUCGUGGUCGUUAUCCUUCCCGAAUCCACCUUGCCCCCAUAGGCCACCAUGGCUGAUUGGUUGAACAAAAAUGCUGCACUUACUGGCAUAAGAGGGAGGGACUUGCCUCGUGUGUACCAUCUUUUCAUGCGUUUGCCUUCUGAAGCGAGCACGAUGGUAACUGGCAAGGAUGGAAGGGGGGCUAUAUAGGAGAUUGCAAUCGCAUGAAGGGAAGCCAGCGUGAAACUCCCACCCAACACCAGGAAAGAGGAGUUUGCGGAGAAGACGGGGUGGUGGGCUCUAGGGUACGGAGGAGAGAUAAAUAGGCUCGUCAAGGGAGGAGGAGGUGGAAGGGCAGUAACGUACACCGCGGCACCUCCACGGACAUUAAACGCAACACCGCGGCGCUUGAAGCAUUGUUGCCUCGCUCGCUCGUUCGAUGAAGCCUCUUCAUCUCCGUGUAACCUUGGCAUCCGAGCGAGUUUUUUUAACCUUGGCCUCCGAACGAGGAGGCCAGUGCCGGUGUUUAUUUCCAUGGGCAAAUGCACCUUCGGUCACACACCACAGUCCAUUUGGCCCAAAACCACAGGGGGCAUCCGAAGUUGUUUCUAGAGCAGCGGCCCAGUCCCAUUAGGCGCUCGGUGCUGAAUGUACAAAUCCAGUACGAGGGAUUUAACGGCCACGAACAUCCAAAUCGCAAAUCCAACGGUUCGCAACACUAAUGGCCUGAGAGGGCUCGAUUAGUGCGCAACUUUAAUGUUUCUAAAUAAUUGACGGAUACCACUUCACACGAGUCCUGAUGGACGGUGGCAGCAGUCUAAACCUGAUAUACCAGGAUACAAUCCACGAAAUGGGGAUAGAUCCAACAAAAAAUUGCCAUAGCAAUACUACCUUUAAAGGAGUAACGCCAGGCCCAAGGGCUCACUGCAUAGGCUCCCUGCUACUAAAGGUUAUAAUCGGCUUUCCCGAUAACUUCCGUAACGAACAUUUAACCUUCCGCAUCGCUCCGUUCCAAAUUGGCUAUCAAGCACUAAUCGGACGCGAAUCUUUCGCUCGCUUUAAUGUAAUACCGCACUACGCUUCCCUCACACUCAAGAUGCCCGGCCCACGUGGCAUCGUUACAGUGAACGGAAGUAUUAAGCGAUCUUUGCGCGCCGAAGAGAGUGGCAGCCGCACACUAAAAACGGCCUCACCAACUAAAGCAUUUAACAGGUCGUCAAGACCUCGGACACAGUUAGACGAGUCCGGCGCAGCUAUAUGUAAUUCAUACCGGAUCAAUGGUCACACCCCUAUUACAAAUACAAGGGGCUCAACGCGCGCAGACAAGUGGCAAUUUUUACUCAUCUUGAAUUAUACAUGGUUUCUUUAAAAACUAUCUUUUUGCACGACAACUUUUUCACCUAAGUUCCCCUCUUUUAUAGAUGAUCAUCGUGCUACACCCGUCCAGGAUACGGCACAAUGGAGACACAGACGCAGACGUGCAGCAGGGACCCGCUCCAAGGAUUCUUUUUAGAUUAAGACCCUGCGUAAACCUUUUUUACUGUCUCUUGUUGAUACACAUCCACCGAAUUCUCAGCACAGUUGAGAAUGAUGCUGACGUCUUGGCAUGUGGCCACGUCAGAAUAAUGCACGUACCUGGACACAAGGGGCUUCUUACAAAGAGCACUAUUUAUGCCCGGUUUAUACCAUAAAGACCGAAUACCUUAGGGAGUGUUCGGCGUCUCGAGUUUGGCCUUAUAUGCAUCAGCUCCGAAUCAUUGUCUCUGGUCAAAUGUUGUGUUUGUCCGGCUCCUGUGUUUUGGUGCCUUAUGUUCCGCUUUAUCGGCUAAGGUAGCACCAGGAGAAUUACUGCGAUUGUGCCCUGGUUCUUCCGGACGAGCACCUUAGUAGAGAAAGCCGAAAACUAACUGUCAUGAUAUAGCGUGAGACUGGUCAACCACUCGAUGACCUAUCGGAAUGUUAGAAUUCCUCCGCCUUAACGAAGGGCCGUUUUCCGGCCAGGCAUGUACGCACCUCGCGAUCGAGAGAGUGCGGAGCCACCAGGGGCUAUCUAGUAGCCCCACUGUCAAAUUCCUAUGUCUAAGUGAAAGUGUUAAAGCAUUAUAGUCUGGUUGCCUCGUUCGCUACGCUAUCACCUCCUUAAUAGGACCAAGACGUUGGGUUAAGUGUGAACACACGUUUUUCGCGAGCACCUCUGCAUUAUAUGCGUGGGGGUUGAAGCCGACGGCUGCAAUCUUCCAGGUUGUACACAUGUAUACAUAAACGGCCGCACAUGAGGCAUCGCACUACUUUCAGGCAAAAGUAUAAACAUAGCCUUAUAAAACUUCAUAAAAGCAUUAUGUUUACAAUGAGAAUACAUAUCACUCAAACAUAAUAUCCUUCGAGCACCGGGCCUCUAUCAAACGAGCACCCUUGAGAACCUCCUCGAAAUAGUGCUCGGCAGCCACUCGGCCUAUGGCCGAACCCUGCACCGCAACAGUGGUAGCGUCCAUCUCCGCCCAGUAUGCUUUAACACGGGCAAGGGCCAUCCGCGAGCCUUCUAUGCACGCCGACCUCUUCAUCACAUUAAUGCGCGACACCGCACCAAGGAACUGCUGCACUAAGCUGAAAUAGCUGUUCGGCUUUGGCUUUUCCGGCCAUAGAUGAUCCACAACAUACCUCAUGGCGAGUCCGGACAACCUAUUCAGUUCGGCCCAUUCGGCUAGCUGGUCAGUCAAUGAAAGCGGACACUCUGGAACGUUGAAUUGCGACCAGAACAGCUUGUCCACUUCACGAUCUGUCUGGCCUUGGAAGUACUUGGCCGCAUCGGCAGCGCUCGCUGCCAAAUCCAUAUAUGCAUCUGCCGAACUCCACAGCCGAUUCAGAGGGGCAUACCGUGGAUCUUCGAACUUCCUUCGUAACAUGAAGGGUUUCCCAGCCGCAAUAUCCCCGGCUUCUCGCAGCUCCUCCUUCUUCGCUCUCAUAGCAGAACGGGUGUCUUUUCCGCCAUCGUGGCCUUCUCAAGGUCCAUUGCCUUCGCUCGGUUUUCUCUUUCAAGGACCCGGCAACGGUCGGCAGUGUCUUUUAAUUCUAUGGCCAUCUUGGCCAUCUUCUCUUGGCUUUCGCAAUGUGCGGCCUUCUCGGCUUUCAACUCUUAGGCCGCCUUCAAAGCAGUCGCAUUACUAAUCCUCGCUUGUUCCUUGGCUCGGGCAAGUUUUGCCCGCAAGGUUUCCACGGUGGCAGCUCCAUCUGCAGUCACAACAUAUUAAAGAUAAUGGCAUCAUGCUGCUCUUACUAUGUGGCGUUCACCAGAUAAUAACACUUACCCCGUGCCUCCUCAAGCCUCUUGUUAACAAGGUCGAUGUCGUCGUCUGCCGCAUCCAGUUGCCGUUUUAAUUUGGCAAACUCACUAGUCCGGCUAGCCACCGGAGCUUCCAUCACCUGCACAUAGGGGCAGUCUGGUUAUUGCCUGGGAAUAUGAUCCUCUGUUCGCCGCCGUUCUCGACGACAACCAGAGUCUCAGGGGCUACUAUCUACACAGGGCACACCUAACAUGUGCAGUACUAUCACAUAUUAUCUCACGUACCUCAAAGCCUGUCAGUAGACUCAUAAAGGCUUCAUGUAAUCCGCUUUCGGCAUACAAAAUUCUCUCCAUCACCGUAUCCAUCAGCGUACGGUGUUCUUCUGAGAUGGCNNNNNNNNNNNNNNNNNNNNNNNNNNNNNNNNNNNNNNNNNNNNNNNNNNNNNNNNNNNNNNNNNNNNNNNNNNNNNNNNNNNNNNNNNNNNNNNNNNNNNNNNNNNNNNNNNNNNNNNNNNNNNNNNNNNNNNNNNNNNNNNNNNNNNNNNNNNNNNNNNNNNNNNNNNNNNNNNNNNNNNNNNNNNNNNNNNNNNNNNNNNNNNNNNNNNNNNNNNNNNNNNNNNNNNNNNNNNNNNNNNNNNNNNNNNNNNNNNNNNNNNNNNNNNNNNNNNNNNNNNNNNNNNNNNNNNNNNNNNNNNNNNNNNNNNNNNNNNNNNNNNNNNNNNNNNNNNNNNNNNNNNNNNNNNNNNNNNNNNNNNNNNNNNNNNNNNNNNNNNNNNNNNNNNNNNNNNNNNNNNNNNNNNNNNNNNNNNNNNNNNNNNNNNNNNNNNNNNNNNNNNNNNNNNNNNNNNNNNNNNNNNNNNNNNNNNNNNNNNNNNNNNNNNNNNNNNNNNNNNNNNNNNNNNNNNNNNNNNNNNNNNNNNNNNNNNNNNNNNNNNNNNNNNNNNNNNNNNNNNNNNNNNNNNNNNNNNNNNNNNNNNNNNNNNNNNNNNNNNNNNNNNNNNNNNNNNNNNNNNNNNNNNNNNNNNNNNNNNNNNNNNNNNNNNNNNNNNNNNNNNNNNNNNNNNNNNNNNNNNNNNNNNNNNNNNNNNNNNNNNNNNNNNNNNNNNNNNNNNNNNNNNNNNNNNNNNNNNNNNNNNNNNNNNNNNNNNNNNNNNNNNNNNNNNNNNNNNNNNNNNNNNNNNNNNNNNNNNNNNNNNNNNNNNNNNNNNNNNNNNNNNNNNNNNNNNNNNNNNNNNNNNNNNNNNNNNNNNNNNNNNNNNNNNNNNNNNNNNNNNNNNNNNNNNNNNNNNNNNNNNNNNNNNNNNNNNNNNNNNNNNNNNNNNNNNNNNNNNNNNNNNNNNNNNNNNNNNNNNNNNNNNNNNNNNNNNNNNNNNNNNNNNNNNNNNNNNNNNNNNNNNNNNNNNNNNNNNNNNNNNNNNNNNNNNNNNNNNNNNNNNNNNNNNNNNNNNNNNNNNNNNNNNNNNNNNNNNNNNNNNNNNNNNNNNNNNNNNNNNNNNNNNNNNNNNNNNNNNNNNNNNNNNNNNNNNNNNNNNNNNNNNNNNNNNNNNNNNNNNNNNNNNNNNNNNNNNNNNNNNNNNNNNNNNNNNNNNNNNNNNNNNNNNNNNNNNNNNNNNNNNNNNNNNNNNNNNNNNNNNNNNNNNNNNNNNGCGGUCAGGUGUCUGGCCUCCCUCAACUUCUUAAUGUCCUCUUCCGUAACGGAGGAGGGCAUCCAUCGGCCUUGAAGGCUGGAUCCGGACAUGAUUGAAGAUCCGGAGCACCUAACCUGGGCUUUGGGUGUUAGAACUCGAGGCGGGGGAAGGGUUCGAUUGAACACAAGGGGGGAAAAGCAAAAACCUUGUCCCUUUAUAAAAAGGGUGAAUAUCAAGCGUACUCUCCGUAGCCGUUUAGGACUUGCCUAUAAUCUAGGAGUCCUAGACACGGUUGGGUUACCCACGACUGCAUUAAUGAGAAUCCCGUAAUUGGGGGAACACGAUCUCCGCUUCAACAAGACGUGUCAAGAAACCGCCUCGCGUUAUGUGUGGAGCUGGUUAAAAGAAACGGUUCGAAUAAUCACCGGGCCAUGACAUAACGUCAUGCAGCCAAAACAAGCCAGCAAAUUAGAUUUGCGAAAAUAUUAUUCUCUCUACGGUGGAAUGUGGAACUUAUUUUGCAGGGUCAGACACUAUCCUUGUAUUCAAAUUCUUCUGUGAUGUAUUCGGAGAAGGAACCCGCCUUGCAAUGCCGAAGACAAUACUGCGCGCCGGACUCAUCGUCAUUGAAGCCUGGUUCAGGGGCUACUGAGGGAGUCCUGGAUUAGGGGGUCUCCGGACAGCCGGACUAUCUCCAUUGGCCGGACUGUUAGACUAUGAAGAUACAAGAUUGAAGACUUCGUCUCGUGUCCGGAUGGGACUCUACUUGGCGUAGAAGGCAAGCUAGGCAAUAUAGAUAUGGAUAUCUCCUCCUUUGUAACCAACCUUGUGUAACCCUAACCCUCUCCGGUGUCUAUAUAAACCGAAGGGUUUUAGUCCGUAGGACAACAACCACAACAUACAAUCAUAUCAUAGGCUAGCUUCUAGGGUUUAGCCUCUCUGAUCUCGUGGUAGAUCUACUCUUGUACUACCCAUAUCAUCAAUAUCAAUCAAGCAGGACGUAGGGUUUUACCUCCAUCAAGAGGGCCCGAACCUGGGUAGAACAUCGUGUCCCCUGCCUCCUGUUACCAUCCGGCCUAGAUGCACAGUUUGGGACCCCCUAGCCGAGAUCCUCCGGUUUUGAUACCGACAGAGAGUGAGAAUUUUGGGUUAAGUGGACGUAGCAGUAGCGCGUUUAGACAAAACGCGCUACUACUAUUAAAGUCAGCUAUAGCGGUUUUAUACAGAAACUGCUACUGCUACCUUGACCAGCUGUAGCUCUUUUUCAGUAAAGCGCUACUGCUAUAACCAGUUUCCCUUUUUCUUUUCCUUUAUUUUUCUCACUUUUUUUCCGAGAGUAGCGAACGAAGGGAAGGCGAUAUAUAUUGCAUCAUUUGACGGUUAAAUAUGUAUGCAAAAUAGGAACAUAUAUAUUACAUCAUUGGACCCAUGCAUAAUAAUGGCUAAGUUUGUAUACAAAAUAGGAACAUAUAUAUAUAUAUACACACAUCAUUUGACCGAUUCCUCAACGCUGAUGUUUUCGUUUUUGAGUCAGCUUCUUUCCCUUCUUGUUCGUCGAAGAAUAAUUGAGCCCCUCAUUGUGACUUUGCCUUUUCCAUGGAGUAUGAUUUUUCUUAGGUAAUGUAGUAUUGAUUCUUCUUUUGACGUAUACUUCAUCAUCAUCGUCAUCUUCCCUCACCGGACAACUUGUUUUUUCCGCGUGCUCCUUCCGAUAAAUUAUGCAAUCGUUGAUGCAUGCAUGGUAUCUAAUGUGUGGCAGAUCAAGAGGGCGCACGAUCUUCUUGGCCUCAUCAACACUACUAGGACAUAGAUUAACCCGCGGGAAGAACAUCCUUUAGGUACUUGAGAUGCUCAUCGAGGCUAGUGUCGGUCCAUUUGUUUUUAGUCUUCAUCUUCAGGAGUUGGAGCGUGAAACUCAAGCGGGUCACCUCAAGAUUUGAACCAUCAUACAAUGGAGUGUUCGAGUCUACCACCAGUUGCUCCAGCUUAGCCUCCUCUCUAGAAGCAGCUCUCUCAGUACUCGUCUCCUUGCGAAGCAAUGCUUGAACAUGAGGGUCCCGCAUGAUUGAACUUAGUACCGACGAACUCUGCUGCGUGGAGUCCAUGUCGUUCUCUUCGCCGCCAUGUCCGGCCCCUUCUCCGCCGCCAUGUCCGGCCUCUUCCCCGCCGCCAUUAUCGAUCAUCUCUUCGUCUUGCCUCGUGUCAUCAUUACCUGCCCCCUUGGCAUCCUCAACAUCGUCACCCUCAUCUUCAAUUAUCCACCGAGUAUAGCCAUCCAUGAAACCAGUCAUGAGCAGGUGCGCUUCGACAUGACCAUCGUCAUGGGGGUCGAGCCAAACUAUUCCUUUGCAUUUUCAACACGGACAUGAAACCUCUGUCAGGUUAUUUUCCUUCAUGUCCUGCACCGCCGACCACAACCACCUGUCCACCAUCGUUCCACUGACCAUCGUCAACUCUGCACGGUAAUAAUAAACAAAUUGAUUAUAAAAAUGCGUGCAUUCUUCAAAGUCAUACAAAAAUUCGGCACGACCUUCCUUAAAAAUGGGACAUAUAUAGAUCUAGAGUUUUCCCAGAAUUCACUGAAAUGGAAAUAAAUCGACAUUUUGGAAAAACAUAGGCAACUCAAAAGCACAAUUUGGCGUCAACUCAUGCCACACACAAAAUUUCCAUAAACAUAUCACACACACAUAAACAUAUUUCCAUUUUGCAAAAGCAUGAAAUUUUAAUCACCUCUAUCUCGAGAUCGAGCAUACGGUGGAGAUGAUGUUGUAGGGAGAUCAAAAGUGCACAAAGCUCUUCUUGACAAAGAUAGAUCUAGUUAGGGGCAAAUAGGUCACUUAACUAAAUGCUACAUCUACCUAGCUACCUAAUUUGGGAGGAGAAAACUUCAACUAGUGGAGGGGGAAGGAAAAAGAGAAAGGAGAUGCAUUAAUGGAGGUGGUGUAGUUAUAGCUAGAAGUAAUGAAGAGAGAGAAAGGUAGGUAGAAGAGGGAGAGUAAUGGGGGAGAAGUAUUGAGGAAGAAGAAGAGUGAGAGAGGGAGGAUGUGGGAGGUAGGGGAAUGGGAGGAGAGGAGAUGGAGAGGGGGAGGUGGAAAAAGGUGGUGGGUGCUGCGUCUUAGCAGUAGCGCGGGAGCAAAAGUGCGCUGCUACUAAGAGCGUAGCAGCAGCGCGCUUUCCUAUCACGCGCUACUACUAAACGGGCCAACAGUGUGGACAAUUUCAAAAUUAGCAGCAGUAACGUGACUAAAAAGAGCCCUACUACUAUGGCAUUAACAGCAGUGCGCUUCCUGACGCCGCGCUACUGGUAAACUUAGGUUGUUGUGUAAUGUCGGUGGAUUUUUGUAGCAGCGCGGUUUAAACAUCACGCGCUACUGCUAAAUUUGCACCAGUAGCGCGCUUUCCGUAACCGCGCUGCUCCUAAUUAGCAGCAGCGCCUCUUUUUAUGCCGCGCUGCUGCUAACAUUUUGUGUAUAAGGUUUUCCCUAGUAGUGAUAUGUCGACGAUGUGGUCGUUAAAACCAGACACAUAGACUCCUCAAUAGACGACCUGAGGCUCACGUUCGACAAUCUCCGAACAUACGACAUUAAGCUCAAUCCAGAAAAAUGCAUUUUCGGCGUACCCGCCGGAAAGCUCCUGGGCUUUAUCGUCUCCAGCAGAGGAAUCGAAGCAAAUCCGGCCAAAAUCCGGGCUCUGUCACAGUUGGCCAUCCCAACAGACCUCAAGCAAAUCCAGAAGUUAACUGGAUGUGGGGCGGCUUUAAGCCGUUGUAUCUCCUGACUAGGAGAAAAUGCACUCCCCUUUAUCGCCUUCUUCGGUGCACCGAACACUUCGAGUGGACGGACACAGCCACGGCCGGACUGGAAGAAAUAAAAGCCAUCCUGGCCACCAACCCAAUCUUGACCACGCCAAAUGUUGGCGAACCAAUGCUAUUAUAUAUAGCGGCAACCCACCAAGUUGUAAGCGCAGUGCUCGUCGUCGAACGAGAGAUGGACAGACAUAAAUUCCCACUUCAAAAGCCAGUAUAUUAUGUAUCCACCGUCCUCACUCCAUGCAAAUCACGGUACCCACAUUAUCAAAAGAUAGCAUACGCGGUAUUCAUGGCGUCCCACAAAUUACGACACUACUUUCAAGAGUGUUCAAUUGCGGUGGCCUCCGAAGUACCACUCAAUAACAUAAUAAACAACCGCGAUGCCAUGGGCCGGAUUGCCAAAUGGGCUAUCGAGCUCCUCCCGUUCGACAUAACAUAUAAACCACGGCGAGCAUUUAAGUCGCAAGUACUGGCCGACUUCAUAGCCGAAUGGACGGAAGCCGAACUCCCUAAAGAGUACGACGCAUACUCCAAUUGGAUCAUGCACUUCGACGGCUCUAAAAUGCUGGCUGGUCUGGGUGCUGGCGUCGUCCUGACGCCCCCCACCGGAGAUACAGUGCAAUACAUACUCCAAAUACUAUAUACAGACUCCAACAACCCAGCCGAAUACGAGGCCCUGUUACACGGUCUCCGGAUGGCAGUUUCCAUGGGCAUUCAACGCCUGGAGGUGCGUGGGGACUCGAACCUCACGAUAUCCCAAAUAAAUGGAGACUUCGAUGCCAAGGAUUCGAAAAUGGCAGCAUAUCACAAUGCCGUGCUCAAAAUAUCAGCUCGGUUCGAGGGGCUUGAAUUCCACCAUGUGGCUCGGCAAACCAACCAGGCGGCGGACAUCCUUGCCCGUCUCGACGCUAAAUGCGACCUUGUCCCACCUAACAACUUCCUGGAAAAACUGUUUAAACCAUCCGUGGUAUGGGAAGGGGACACCAGCAACAAUAGUCCGGACCCGGCCACAACCCCAGAUACCGAACACUCUGACACAAUCGGAGGCUCUGCCAUCGAAAUAACACCUUCAGCCCACGUAAUAAUGGCCGUCAUCGCCCCGUGGACAAAACCAUUCUUGGCCUACCUAAUCAGGCAGGAACUACCCGAGGACCAAAAUGAGGCACGCUGCAUAGUGCGGCAAUCUAAAGCCUACAAGGUCCACGAGGGAGGGCUUUAUAAGAAAAGCACUACCGGAGUCCUUCAAAGGUGCAUCUCCGAAGAGGAAGGGCGGAAGCUUUUGGCAGAAAUCCAUGCCGGACUCGGCGGCCAUCACACCGCAGCCCGGGCCCUUAUAAGUAAGGCCUUCCGUACAGGUUUCUAUUGGCCGACAGCCCGGGCAGAUGCGCAGCACCUGGUCCAGCAUUGUGUCGGUUGCCAGCUCUUUGCAAACCAAAGCCAUAUGCCGCCUACCGCUCUCCAAACUAUCCCCAUUACUUGGCCCUUUGUGGUCUGGGGGCUUGAUAUGGUCGGACCCCUUAAAGGGGGAACCCAUAAUAAAAAAUACUUACUGGUCAUGAUGGAUAAAUCCACCAAAUGUAUAGAAGCCAAACCUGUCAAAACGGCUGAAUCCGGACCAGUGAUAGACUUCAUAUCCGGGGUCGUACACCAUUAUGGCGUCCCCACAGCAUCAUCACUGACAACGACACGAACUUCACAGCCGACGAAGUGAAACUUUGGUGCAGCAACAUGGGCAUCAAGCUCGAUUAUGCUUCUGUCUAUCACCCGCAUACUAACGGUCAAGUCGAGCGAGCGAGUGGUCUUAUCAUGAGCGGCAUUAAACCCAGAUUAGUGCGGUCCUUAAAGGAAUCAAACAUGCACUAGGUAGAGGAGCUCGACUCCGUACUAUGGGGGCUGCGGACCACGCCGAAUCGCACUACUGGAUACACACCGUUUUUUAUGGUGUACGGCGCUGAGGCGGUUCUGCCCUGCGACAUAAUUCAUGACUCACCUCGAGUGCGCAUGUACGAAGAAAAAGAGGCCGAGCUCGAUCGGCAGGACAAUUUGGACACCCUGGAGGAGGAGCGCGACGUGGCAAAAGCCCGUUCCGCAUUCUAUCAACAACAGGCUCGAAGGUAUCAAAGCAGAGAAGUAUGGACCAAAACCUAUAACGUUGGUGAACUAGUUCUACGCCUGCCGGAGAGGAAAAAGAACAAGCUCAAGCCCAAAUGGGAAGGUCCCUUCAUUAUUGACCAGGUUCUUACCGGCGGAGCAUACCGUCUACGGGAUGCAUCGAAUAAUCGACUCGAGCCAAACCCAUGGAACGCAGCCAGGAUCCGAAGAUUCUAUGCCUAGCACCGGAUUCUAUGUUCGUAUCCUCACAUCCGUCCAUUUUUUGCAUAUCUGUCUUUUCUCUCUUUCUCUCUUUUUCUAUUCUCUUCAAGGCCUAAAGGGCAAAAAUUGUGUCUUGGUUACACAAUCUUGACGCGCUAUUCGCGCUCAUUAUACCUGAAGGCUUCUUAUACAGAAGCUUAAUCUAAUUAUUUUUCGGGAUUUAUACCCCGCACAUGUGUUAUUCUUCCGCAUGUACCUUUUUCGUCAUUAUAUGCAUUGAUAUGACUUAAGUUUUGGCCAAGCUAGGUUGUCUGGCUCUUUUAUUUAUGCCCUAAGUUCCCGUUAAUUCGGCUAGGGCAUAAGUGGAGCACCUCUGCGAUUGUUACUGCCGGGUCAGCCGGAUGUGUACCUCAGACUGGGUGAAGCCGAAAGCUAGCGUUUUUAAGAGAAUAUUCGGUCGGUGAAUAAAAGAUGACUUUUAUCUAAAUUUGUCACAUGCCCCCAAAGGUUUAUAGCCUGCAUCUCUUCUCGCAGUCCGGACAUGCACAUUAGGGCAUGCGUACCCAGGGAAAGGAACCCUUAACGGAACUAUUCUCCCUGGAAGAUCUUUCUUCCUACCCAUGUAAUAUAACAUAGCUAGUUGGGUACUUGUCUGUUCAAGCACUUAUGACCCCUACGCCUGGUUUCCAUGCAUACCCCGGUUUUUACAUAAUUGAGCGGGUAUUCGGAUACACUCCGGACUAUCGGGUCCAGAGGUCGAAGCGAAAAGGUCCGCCAUGACAAAUGAUUUACAAUCCGGCUAGGGACAUUACAUAUGUCACUUGAAGUACACAGUCACUAAGACUGAUUAAAUUCUUCUUCUAUACCAUCCAACAGGAUGUCUAGCCUACAAUCCUGUUGGGAAUACUUUGCAGCUAAUUCUACUUGAUCAUACACUAAACUGACGGGGAUCUCUCUCCCAUCGGGCCCCACAGGUCCGACCUCGGCCAUGUGGUUUGGGUCCACUUUGGUAUAUCGCGUCUUCACCAUAGCCCAUGCUUCCCUUGCACCUUGUCGGCAGGCUGAUAUCUUCCAUAAUCGGAAGCGCCGCCGCGCUCCCUUGAGCUUCUCUAUAAGCUCCCCCAUGCCUCCUGGUGGGGACGCGGAUGGCCACAAGGCUUGGGCAAUACCCUGCAUCACCUAUCGAACUUGCUCGUGCAGUUGUGAGAGCUCUGGUAGAAGAUCACCCAAAGACCCGGGCAUCUCUUCCGUGGGACGACCCGUCAGCAUACCUGCAGACAUAACUCUGUUAGCCGGCUUCUUCGCCGAACUCCUUUAAAAGUUCGUUCAAGCACUUACUGAAAAUGCCACGCCGAAGCCGUUUAUUCUCCUUCACAGAGUCCGCAAGCUGGGCUCGGACAUCUUUCAGUUCCACGCCCAGCCGGAUAUUGGCAUCUUGGAGAUUAUUUUUCUCCUGCCCGACUCGCGUAAGCACGCGCUCGCCAGCAUUUAGCUGUCGAUCAGCACGUGCCACAUUCACUGCCACGGCCUCCGUAUCCACUCCGGGGCCACCUGGAACAUCUAUUGUUAGAUUUGCAUACAUGCCACAUACUACCUGGUACCCAUAUUCUUUGUAAUGGAAACAAGUGUUACCAGAUGGACCCUUCUCGGACUCCUUCAACGUGGCAACAGCGGCCCCUAGCUGGGCCUUGCACUCUUCUAGCUCUUGAGACAAUUGGAAAUUCUUCUCUGUAAGAACCUGCACAAAUAAUGAUCCUUAAAUCAGUUGCGUCAACUAUUUCAAGUCUCAGGAGCUACUGAUACAUAUAAUUGUCAGAUUUGCUUACCCGUAUAUCCCUUACAUACUGGUUCGUGGCUCUGGCUAGACCAUUUUGAGCAGCACGGAUGUACGCGUCUCCAGAAUUGAAGGCGUCAAAUGCCUCUGGUGAGAAACAAGCGUCACAGAGUACGGCCCGGUGACGCCUAUGAUUCAUGGCGCUCUCCACUUCGGAAUUUGUAGCGGAUAGUCUUUCCGCAUCCUCUGUAGGAGGAACAUCCGGCGUCUGCCCCACGUUAGCUUCCACCUCUAUGUCCGGCCCUGGAGCCCGAGUGGUGGAGGCGUGAUCGGCAGCCUCUCCGGAUAUAGUCCGGCGAGCGAUUUUUCUACUAGGAAAUAUGGACGUCAUUAUAUUUUAAGAAAGACGACAACCACGGAGCGAGGUUUCGUGUCAUACCUCUGCGCCGGCGUCUCCAUCCCGACCGCCUUCCUUUUUGGCCUACCCGGCUUCAGUGCCCCUUGUUGGCGAGUUGUUGCGGAUUCGGCACGGCGUCCCGAAUGCCUUCCCUGUAAAACACCAUAUGUGUACGGUAGGUGAAGUGCAUAAAAGAGGAUCCUUUUUGGGAGUUGGGACUUUGGUUUUUCUUACGUGCGACGCAGGGAGUAGUCCAGGAUAGUCGGCCGUUAUGGCCACCAUGGCGUCAUCGCAGCUCAAUUGAUAGAAUUGCUUGUCUAUCAGCUCCACGAAUAUGUCCGGAUCCUCUUCGAGUCCGGGAUCGAGGGCCCGGCCAGGGUCCUCCGGUUGUGGAGGUGGGCUGUUGACCUCCCUUACAGCUUUUCGCAGUUCCUGCCGUGAAAUGGCAAGGUGAGUAUCUAUGAUGAAGAAUGCGGGAAGGUUGGGAGUAAAGAGGUACAACUCACCCAGCUUGAAGGGUUGUACAUGGAGAAUCCAUCCCGUGGCUUGAUACAGAUGAACUCCUCUUCCUCUCCCUUGAACAACUCGAACAUAAUUUUUGCUAAAGCAGCAGUGGAGUCCGGUCCCUUACGCCCACAACGGGUGGCAUCAUCUUCCUCGUUAAAACACCACAGGGGGUGCCCUCGAUAUUGAAGCGGCUGCACUCCCCGCAUUAUGCAUAUUGAUAUAACCUCGAUUAUUGUCAAUCCUGAUUGAGCCAGUGGUUUAAUCCGGUUCAUCAGGUAAAGGACUUCUCCGUUGUCUUCCUCCUGGGGGCUUCGUGGGCGCCAGCUUCGGCGUUUCUUCAGAGGAGCAUUGUUGAACUCAGGAAGACCCCGCCGAACAGGGUCUGUAAGGGGGACGUCCUCCAUGUAAAACCACUCCAAAGGCCAGUCUUCGGAUGUCUUCUUCGGAGUACCGGACAGGUAUCCAGUCUCGGCGAUGCGCCAUAUUUCGGCUCCGCCCACUUGAUAAAGUGACCCCUUCUGUGUGCGGGGCACAAGGCAGAAUAUCCUUUUCCACAACUCGAAAUGAGCCUCAUAGCCCAGAAACAGCUCACAAAGGGCAACAUAACCGGCGAUUUGUAAUAUGGAAGCAGGGGUGAAAUUAUGCAACUGGAGGCUGUAAAACUCCAGGAGCCCGCGGAGGAACGGAUGAAUUGGAAACCCGAGUCCCCUUAGUAGGUAAGGAACAAGGCAUACCCGCUCCCCCUUGGAGGGAUUGGGGAAGCUCUCUGCUUGCUCCCCGCCAUUAUAGGUGGCGAGCCCGGCUCGAACGGGGAUCAUAUACGCUGGAGGGAGAAAUCCCUGGGUCUGCAACUCUACUAAUCGGCUGUGCGGGACGGAACACUUCUCCCAAUCACCGGGCUUAGGGCUACGGGAGCGAAAGGAGGAGCUGCGAUGGCUGGCCAUGAUGGAAUGGAUUUUUCCGAGCGUGCUCCGAUGGACUCUCGCCGUGGGAGGAUGGUGUGGAUUGGAUCCAAGAAUCCCCAUCCCUUUAAUAGAUGAUUUAUUUACCUGGCUAGGGGGGCGAAUGUAAAAACGCCCUGGCUCCUCGCAUUCGCUCGACGCGUGGAAGAUAGCCCUUAUUAGGCGCAGAAGCCGAGAAGUCCAACAUUUAUGGGAGACGGACACUACUUAGCAGAUAUUCAGGAUUUGGAGAAGAACCCGCCUUGUAAUGCCGAAGACAAUACUGUGCGCCGGACUCAUCGUCAUUGAAGCCUAGUGUUGAAACACGAACACGUCACGUGUACCUUCAACGCCGGGGGUGAUGCACCACAGCUCACGUCGAAGGGGACCCGACCGACAGCGUGAUACGUAAGACAGUCGACGGGCACUUUUGCAGACCCGAAACCCCACACCCCCGGGAGGGACCCCGUUAGGGAGUGCGGCGGCUAUGGGCUGCCCUAGGUCGAUUCGCUCGCCCCUAGAGCCUCGGGAUUCACAACUCUCAAACUUGAGGAACAGCGAAGAACGAGAGAGAAAAUGGUGGAGAGAUAAAACGUAAACUGAAAAAGUAGUAUAUUGAUUUGUUCGAUUGUGUGUUGUUCAAUCGGCCGUCACCCCCAACAUAUAUAAGAGGCAGCUGGACUUCCCGUACAAGUAAAGGAUUCAUCUAGGCUUUCCUUACAAGAAAAAUUACAUCAAUUCACGUCCUAGAGUUCUAGUUCUAUUCCAACUCAGGUUCAGUCUAAAUCUGGCCCAAACUCUAUCUUCCUUCUUGCGCGGGCCGCUGAGCUUGCAUAUGAUCUCCGAUCAAGACGGCCCAAAUAUCAAAUUUGUGCGCCUUGACGAUAAGAACAACUCUCAUGUUGAUCACUUUUUCAAAUAAGGCCUUCUUGAAUACUUUUCGAGGUCAUCUUUACCUUUCAGUCAGACUCGGUCUUGCAGUAGACUGGAUUAUCCGAGUCUCGUAGUGAAUUUGUAAGCCAUAUACUAUCUCUGAUGAUGAUGACUCCAAAACCAAAGUUUACACUCUUGAUGAUAUGCACAACUUCUGUAUUGAACACUUCUUCAUCCGAGGUCAUCUUGACAAACUUUCGGGCGUAUGUUCAGUUUUACUCAGAUUCGAGCUCAUCCACUCGGAUUAGAGUCAUUCACUUGGAUCGUCCGACUGGACUUUUUCACUCGGAUGUUAGAAUCUUUCACUCAGAAGACAAUCUUCACUCGGAUGACCAUAUUUUCACUCGGAAGGUAAUCUCUUUACUCGAUCGGCAAGUUUUUAUUCCGACAGUAAUCUUUUCACUCGGAUGAUUAUAUUUUCACUCGGAAGACAAUCUCUUACUCGAUAGGCAAGUUUUCAUUCCGACGGUAAUGGUUUCACUCGGAUGAUAAUAAUUUCACUCAGACGGAAAACUUUCACUCGACCGGUAAGUUUUCACUCGGAUGGUAAGCUUUCACUCGAUCGGUAAGUUUUCACUCGGAUGGUAGCUUUUCACUCGGAUUUUCCGACUGAAAACAUAGCCUGAUCUUGUUUUGUCUCUCCAGGCCUCAUACGACCUCAGAUUGAAACGAAUUAUAUAUGAAAACCGAUCGGCUCGACGAGACGAAACUUCUCUGUGUUGACGGUUUUUCGAUUCAAGGCCGUCUUGAGGGCCGAAUUGCUCACGCAUUGUAUCAGACACUCAUCAACAUGUGUGUGGUGUCAAUCGUAAUAUUUUGGUCUCUGGCCUGUCCAAACCGAAUUGACUGUAACUUUUGCAUAUGAACUCGGAUUAAGAUGAUUUAUAUAUGAAAAUCGAUUGCCUCGACGAGACGAGGAUAAUUCCUUUAGAGUGCUCCUUCAUCUGAGGUCAUAUUGAGGGCGUAAUCUGCCGAAAAGCACUCAGAACACUAAAUUUUGUCACUCGGAGUACAACUUCGGCCAUUGAGAUGAGGUCGAAUGGCGAUAGCCUAAACAUCAAAGUUGUUCCACUCGACGAUGUGGAACUUUCUCAUGCUGAAACCCUUUCACUUUAUAUCUUGCCAAAAUCAGGUGUCAACACCUGGUUCAGGGGCUACUGAGGGAGUCCUGGAUUAGGGGGUCUCCGGACAGCCGGACUAUAUCCUUUGGCCGGAUUGUUGGACUAUGAAGAUGCAGGAUUGAAGACUUCGUCUCGUGUCCGGAUGGGACUCUCCUUGACGUGGAAGGCAAGCUAGGCGAUACAGAUAUGUAGAUCUCCUCCUUUGUAACCAACCUUGUGUAGCCCUAGCCCCCUCCAGUGUCUAUAUAAACCAGAGGUUUAGUCCGUAGGACAACAGACAAUCAUACCAUAGGCUAGCUUCUAGGGUUUAGCCUCUACGAUCUCAUGGUAGAUCAACUCUUGUAAUACUCAUAUCAUCAAGAACAAUCAAGUAGGGCGUAGGGUAUUACAUCCUUCAAGAGGGCCCGAACCUGGGUAAACAUCGUGUUCCUUGUCUUCUGUUACCAUCCGCCUUAGACGCACAGUUCGGGACCCCUACCCGAGAUUCGCCGGUUUUGACACCGACAACGCACCUUAUCCUUCGCCGACAAUGCUCUUGCUAUUGAUGGGCUCUCCGCCCAUCACUAGUCAGCGUCCGGAGGCGCGACGCAUGGUGAUGUGGUGGAGCAGUAGAGGAGCGCUACUACAGUGUCGCGGCAGAGCAAUAGUGAGCAGCAGAUGUGCUAGGGCAGAAGAGCUCUGGGUGUCAGGAAUAAGAAGACGCGGGCGAGGAGAAUGAGAGUGUAAAGCUCUCUCUUUAUGUGCCUUCUCCCUUAUAUAGGGUAAGGGAAAUGCGAAAUGGCGACAUGUUAACCCUAUGGCAUGGCAGCAAAUAGUUUUGCAUCCCGACAUCAAUGUUAAUUACGUGCGUGGAUCGAGGUGACCCCAAUUAACCUAGGGUGGGGAUUGAGGCACACAUCCACUAUGGAUGGGAUGUGAUGUAGGUGGGCCGUCAGCCCGCUCCCACAUGUCAUGUUUACCAUCGGGUCACGUUUCACACGUGGUCUGGCAGGACCACUUGAUGAGACCGGCCUGGUCAGUUAGGGCCAGGCAGAUGGAACCUUUGAAGACGCGACACAUGAAUUUGACCCCUGAAGAGAUGACUACGUAGGAAACAUUUUCUGUGUAGGUUGGCUAUCUCCUUUGACGAGACAAGGCCGAGGUGUUUUGCACCACUUUGGAGGAAGCCCAGCAGCCGGAGGUUGGCUGCAUGAAGGCACCGUUGGAGAAGCUUCAUGACCCAAGACGGCAUGAACUCAAACAUGACACAGAUGCAUCCUAGAUUGGAGACCGAUUUAGGGGCUACUGAUGGUGUCCCGACUCAGGGGUCUCUCACUAUGUCGGUUCCCGGCUUGGUGGGCCGGCUGAGGACCCUUAGGUUGGUUGCGUCCAUGGCCACAUUGGGCAGCCCAUGACAAUUAUGUGGAAGACUUGUUGAACAAGCCAAAGAUACCAGGGCCAUGGAGGACUCUACCUCCAGCGAUGUAACGGAAUAGGGUCUGUAUCCCCAGAACCCCAGUAUGUUAUAUAAGUCGGGGGCUGGGCUCGUCGAUAUCAUACACAUAAUACCUUUGUAUUCAUCUGUACAUUGUGCAUUACCUCGAGCGUGAGGGCCUAAACCUGGGUAAAUCCUUGACUCCUAUUACCAUCCAACCUAAUUGCCUAGGUGGGAUACCGUACCGAUGGAUCCGGAAUCGUAUCAGACAUUCUGUCCAAUGGUGUUCCCUGGUUUUCCAAGGCGUUGCGUUUAGUUCCUAUUCAGUAGUCUCGAUCGCUUUGUAUUUGGUGUGUUGACUCCUAUUACCUUUCUCGAUUGUAAGUUGGUGGCAUUUUAGCUACUGUUUCUCAUAUGUUUUUUAUUUGACAUAUUAGGAUUUCCUCACCACUUUGUAUCGGUUCAGCAGUGUGUGCUUUAUUUAUAAAGCGGGGGGAAAGCAUGUUUUGAAAGUUGCCACUUACACACAUUCAUGAACAUAUUUCAAAGCCUUCCUCUUUACGUUCCAAUUUUGUGAGAACAUUGUAGUUUAUUUUCUUCAUAAGGCAAUAAAAGGAAUCCACAUUAUAGUAGCAAUCUAUGAAUGCUGAAUGGCUUACAAUAUUCGACAUGGAGAUUGCAAUUUUGCAUGUUGUAGUGUGUUGUCAUGAGAAGAAGUUGCUUAGAUGUGUCGAUCAUGGAGUUGAUAUGCCUUGAUCCCACCAUGCGUGCGUGCAUCUUUUUGGCCCACACGUUCACCCACUCAUGGAUGCAUGACACAACUGAACUUUUCAGACAUAAUUGCCAAACUAAUCCCACUCACUUAUUAAAUUACUCAGUAUGGAUCCCUGUCAAAGGUUGAUUAGACAGUACCUGGACACAACACAUUUUACAAUUGUCAAGUGCAUGUCGCUGAAUUAUCUAAACCAUACGUGCAUGCCCAUGUACAGUGGGGUCCAUUUAUAACUUGCUGAAACUCUUAGUUAAUCUCCUGUGUUGAGCCAAGGUGUACUACUUGUGGGCACUAAUCAAAGCAAUUUGAUGAAAGCAAUUGUGCAACUAGUUGGAAUUAAUGAUCUUGUGGAUUCUGCAACUACCAUUUGAUUACAGAAAAGGUAUGUCCAUGUUGUCGGCACUGGCAAAAAUACAGAAGCAGAAAAGGAACCUAUGUUGACAUGUAGGUCAUGUGCACAUCACAACACUGUCGAUCACUGUGAAAUGCAAGACACCCUUAUGUGCAAGCAAUGAAGAGAGUAUGAAGGGCAGGACAUUGAUUGCAUGAAAGUGUGGUUUCUGCAAUCAAGUGCCCCCCUCUUUGACAGGUAUAUAUGCUUAAUUAUGUUGGUCAAUGCAUGGUUAGGUAAUUAAUUAACCAGAUGUAACUAAAUGGUUAAUUCUGUCUACAGGAGAAUUACAGAAUUACAUUGAGUGUGUUCUGGUGGUUUAGUUGCAGUGCAUGAAGGAUGGUUAAUAAUUUAUCUAAGUCGUCUGCUGAAGAAGUUAGUAGAAUACAUUAUAUAAUAAUGGGGGUGCCAUGCAAUUCAAACAGUUGGUUAAAUUUUUACCAAACAUGCAACCACCUUGAUCUCUCACAUCACACAGAGCAGAGACGUUCCUGUAAAAUGGGGCUCUUUGAUGUUUGAACUGUGAUAUAAUAGCUAUCACACCUUGCUCAUUGGAAGCUUCCUGUCAACCCUUGAUUGCUAGUGUCAUCACUGACAAAUGCAGGCACACAAAUCCAAUAUGUAUAUGUGUUUCCCGCAAAAAGAUGAGUAGUUAGUUCCAUGGCUUGUCCAUUCAGACAUAUAGUUGAACCCUCUUGUCGGUUCUUUCAGGUCAUUUAUUCUCCUUUCUUUUUUAAUGCAGUAGUGCACAAAUAUUUAAUACUUAACACUCAAUUUGCAGGCUUAUUAAAUAAGAAAAAUCAAAGAUAAAAAGCCAAAAAAAAGAACACUCUGAUAAGUCACGACAUGUGUUUUUAUAACUCUGAACUGCAAGCAAGACAGGACAACAGAAUUAACAAGAUGCAUCUCUGUCUAUUUUUCUCGAGCAGGCACCUAAAUGUGCACCAUUUUACAGCUUAAUUUCGCUCCUACAAAUUAGCAGCAUGUUUAGAGUGUAAUUAACACUAAUACUGACAUACAUUGAUUUUUUUUUUUAGAAAAGGAGGAUGACCCCCGGCCUCUGCAUCUGGGAGAUGCAUGCGGCCACUUUAUUGAUUAUUCUUGAGGACCUUACAAAGUAUUACAACAAUAUGUCUGAAUCCACCAUCUUAGCAACAUAUGCUACUACUCCUAUCAAUAUGAUGAAGGGGUGCUAGCUGGGCCAAAUACCCAGACCACUCACCUAAGCCUAUCAUCAAAAGCCAGAAGCCUCAGCCGAGCCACAUACCGGGUGUGGGGCAUAAACUGGUCUGAUGCACUCACAUGUGUCGUCGUCGCCAUCUUCCACAUGUCCAUCUUCUGAUCAGAUAUUGAGGCUUCUACCUUGUCAGACCACUCUGCCAUUGACGCCACCAUGACGCCAGACAACUACCUCCUCAUGCGCGAGUUCAUCACCGCGCAUUGGACGCCGAGUCUCCAUUGCGCCACGCCAUCGAGAUCCGCCGUCAUCAAUGUGUAGGAUGAAGCACCGCUCCACCAAAAAAGCCGCCCACUAGUCCCUCGAUCCCGUGUACGCCUCCAAGAAUGACGCCCGUAAGGAGGAAACGACACCAACGCGCCGCCGUCAUCCGAUCUACUGAUCUAGGGUUUCCCCCGGAAGUAGCAGAUAGAGGUCUGGAGCUUUUCCACUGCGAUGCCUUCGAGAAGGUUAUGACACAAAAGAGUGCCACCAACGCUGGUCUUGGCAUCAAGACGAGAACGAGGUUUUCACCCGGAUCCGCUCGAAGAACCUCCAUCAAGCAUCGUGUGCACGGGUCACCGCCGAUCGGAGCCGCCGCACAUCGAGCAGGCCGCACCGGCCAGAUCAGAUCUGUCCGGAGGGCAAACCACGCAUAGUGCCGACCCAACCACCAGGCCCUUCAUGCCGCCACCGCCGAUCCGAGGUCAGAUGGUCUGUCGCCGCAAACCCGGCCGCCGCCACCGAACGCAGCCUAGGCCGCUGCCCGAAGUAGGGCCGGCCGCCGCACCCGCCACCAUCGCCGCCCUAGACUGAGGCGGCCGCCGCGGCGCCGCCAGAAGGCAGGCCCGCCAUGCCACCAAGGCCAGAUCGGCCGUGCCACCACACACCGCGGGGCUCCGCACUGCCCCCAUGGCGCAGGAGAGAGGGAAGGCCCCCGCCAUCGCCGCCAGCCCCCGGGCUAUAGGCCUGCGGCGUCCUUCGGCGGCAGCGGAGGUAGGGAUGGAGGGACGGGGAGCCCCCAGCGGCUAGGGUUGCUAUCCCGCCCGAGUCGCCCGAGCGGGGGCGACGUGGGGGUCUACGCGGGGGGUGCAGGGAUCACUGACAUACAUAGAUACAUAGACUAUCCCUAUUAUCUGGGAGUAUGGGCCUUUACCAUCAUCAGCCACCCAAUAUUGGUUAACCAAAUCGGUUAUGGUGGGUGGAUCAACACCCACACGCACGCUCUUAUGUAGAAGCUUCAGGUUCAUCUUAUUGCAGCCUGCAGGUUUCAGUCAGUAUGUACCAGCCAUGCUAACUUAAAUCACAAUGCGCUCUAAAUUCGAUGUCCUCACGACACAACCACCGUAAGAGGGCUUAUUAAACUAUAGGUUCCAAUAGCAUUGCUGCAUUAGAAUUGCUUUCUCUAGUUUCAACAAACCCAGUAAUUAAUAAGAUCCAGUCUACUCCUAAAAAGAGAUCCGGUCCCGUGCAAUCACUGAAUUGAACUUCUGGAGCUGGUAAGAAUUCCGCACUCUGAUGUCCGAUGAAGGGGAAAACUACUGUGUCCCUAUUGGUUACUAGCAUUAUGUGCUCAUGUAAGUAACUGAAUAUUACACAACAUAUUUCAGUGUGUUCAAUAAUGUGAGUAGAUGUGACAGGAAGGAAGAACUUUGUUUUCGUUCUGAUAACUUCUGCAAGUACUCUAGCUAGUGGAUGAAUUGGCAAGCAUCCCACAGUAGAAUUCUGAUAUAUUAAUACCUGCCUAGGCAUCUGGCUACUAGGACAAAAGGCAAUUAAUCAUUGUUUUGUGCCUGUUAGUAGCAUUGAGACGCCAAUACACUGUUAUCCGCAGCUUUGAUUUAGAGUAUGAGGGUGACAUGAUGAAUUUACAUGCUAUUGGGCAGUUAAAAUAAUCCAUCAGAUUGUUGGAUGUAGUAUAUGUCAGUGUACACUCUAGAAAAUAUUACUGAACAUUUCUGAUUGGCAAUGCCAUGUCCUCCUACAGAAUGGUGCACAGUUAAUACAAAUUAUGUAUAUUAGCACUAAUCAGAUUUCUAAUGCGUGUGACAGCCACAAACGAAGAGUAACUCAUUGUGAUAAGAAAUCUGAUAUGGACAUCUUAUAUAACGAUGUGCUUAUUUUAGGUGGCAAUCCUUUUUGCCCAUCAUUAUUGUAUAUUGCUGGAAGCAACACUGCUGCAAAUAUGACAGAAUGGCUUCCAAUUAUGUAUGUCACACGCUGAGUUAAUAAUUUCUGUCAUUAUCUGAAGAAUGCAAUUCCCAUCUUCUGGCUGUUUGCUUCUGUUCUAUAUUUGGGAAAUUAACUUAUUUUAUGGUUUGUUCCAAAUCAUAACCAAAUGUACACAUGCAUAAUAGAGAAAGAUAUAUAAGUUCUCAAAUUUUUUUUGCUAUCAUCCUGAAGAAGAUAUAUGUAACAUAGUUACUAAGGAGUACUCAAUCACAUGUGGAGCUUGAAUAUGGCAGGCAAAGAAUUUUACUCUCACCUUUAAUUUAUUUUCUUCAGUUGCAGUAAUAUAUAAGCAACUCAAACUUCACAUGCUGUUCAGUUGAUGAAUAAAGUAAGGAUCUGGACGGAUAUGUCAAGCUUAAAUGUUUACACAGUCAGACAGCCUUGUGGGGUCUUUAGGUUAAUAUUAGGGUCUCAACUUAGUCUAAUGCAACCUUAAAAUGCAUGAAGCUACUUGUUCUCACAUCUUUCAUAUCAUCAUAGGAUAAUGCAUUGCUUAAGAAUUUUCUAAAUCAACAAGGAUUAACAACAUGAUCUGCCGUGCCAUGCCCUGGACUGCAUCUGUUAAAGAGUAUAGUUAGUAAACAGAAUAGGAUAAAGAAAUAGAACCAAAUCUUUGCCUGAUCCAUUUGCUCAUCGCAUGUCACUGUUAAGCCUGUAGUCGUUACAGUUUGGUGAGGAUUGUGUUCACGUUUGUACUACUUCACUUGUAUCCCCGCACUUAUACUAGACGCUAUAUUAACAACCUAUACUAGGACUGAUCACAAUUUGGGCAGCGAUCUAGGUAAGAUGAAUUAAAUGUGGCAUUUUACUUGCAAGACAAGGUACUGUUAAUCAAUGCUAAGCUAGGCUUAUUGGCCUAGGCAUUCUCAAGUCAAUAGGUUCACUGUCCUAAUCGCGGACGUGCAGAAAGGCUGAUAUGGUGAUAAUUUGAGUGAGUUGACAAAGACUAUAUCAAGGUUGAAUUUGAUGCUCCAGGCCUCGACCGAUUUGCACUUCUCAUUGACGUCAUCAGUUACAUAAACAAAAAGUUUUGGCGCUCUGAUGUGAGGAUAAACCAUAUCUGUAAUUGUAUUUGCUCAAAAAAAAAUAUCUACAAUUACCAUGGGUCUCAGAUAAUAUAUGUCAGGUUAAUAAAUAAAAAUAAUUAAAUCCAUUUUUGUAAAUAAGGACAUAUUUCAAUGCAUACGUGGUGUCCCUGGUGUCAUGCCGUGGCAAUAAAGCCGACAAGAGCCGCGUCUCCUAAACUUUUGCAAUUUUAGUUUGUUGCAUUAACCUAAUCCAGUUAGUUAGGAUAAAGCGGACCAUGUUGCAUUAUAGCAUCUGUUUGACUUUGCUGCUGAGAUUGACUCCUUCUUGUUAACCAAUUUGUCUCAGAGCAUGUCUGUGCUAUUGGCAGCAGGAGUUGUUUAUAAAUACUCCUAGCAUGGAAGGAAUUCAACCCUGAACCUGUGCGUCUGUGUCUGCACCUGAAAAACAGGCAGAAGCUAUCACCUGCUGUCUAAAGCAACAGUGUAUGAAACUGAAUCUGUCCUUAGAUCUUCAGUUAUUUCAUCUGUCUUGUAAUUAUCUAUCGUUAACAGAAUACUAUUAACUACUUGCUUAAUCUUGAGUACAGGGGAUUACGGAGUUGAAACUUCAACUGCUAGUAGCUUACGCACGGUUAAUUGUUUGCUAGACUCAGAUCGCUGGAAUCUAGUGUAGUGCUCCUACUGUCGACAGAAUUUGAUCAACUGAAUGUGCUGCACUAGACCUCAGCAAUACUAGCGUGUGCGCAUGAUACAGAUGUGACCCGCAGGUCACAAAAUCUAGUAUGCAGAACAAAUCCUGUUCUUUGCCCUAAUUUAUAUUUAAAGACAAUAGGCAUGUAGCCACAAUUGUUUGUAAACAUGCAGCCUAUUUAUCAGGCAUCAACUUGGCACAAUUGUUUGUGUAUUGGGGGUCAAAGGCAUGGUUGAGAAGCAUGGGAAAGCCAGAAAACAGUGGCAUGAUAGUGAUGCAUAUCCAUGGCUGACUAGCAACAGUAGUGCUGGUUCCUGUCUGAACCUCUGAAAAAAAAAACGUUCUUGUCUGAAGUGACUCAUGGCAGAGGAUGAUGGUGAUUAGUUUAUUUAACAGCUAGCUAGGUAGCUAGGCAGGGCUGUGGUUUGCAAGGGAAGCUUAACUUUGGAUGUAGGCUGAAGUGACUCAUGGUAGAGAUUGACAAGUUACUCUUCUUCCUUCUGUUAUGUGUCACUGACUACUACAGUCUCUGAUGAACGUGUAGAAUAAUAAUAAGAGUAAUUCCAAUGAUUAGUUUGUUCUUUAUCCAGGAGUGUACAAAAACGACAGGAGAAAAUGGAAAGGGGAGAUUUACUUUGCUGAGGAUGGAAACAUAUGGUAAAAUAUAUAAUUUUGUAAAAAAUUGUACAUUUUAUGCUAGAAAAUUAAAUGCGCCUUUGUCGGGGAUGAAAUCAAGGUCACCGGGGCGACAGGCGGGAACACUUAGCACUAUCUUACAACGACUUCUUCAAUGCAUCUAGCUACAUUUAUAUCUAUAUCUAUAUCUAUACCUACUAUUAAACGAAGGUGAUAUUCUUGGUUUCGUCCCGCUUUGUUUGGACCCGCUUUAAUUAAUUUCACGUAUGCUAUUUGGUUUCGUUACUUGCCACCCGCUUUGGCCCAACGGGGAAAGCCCACCUGACGACGCGCGGUGGCCCAUGUCCGGAGAGUUGGCAAAACAUAAAAUAGCCGAUGGCAGGGUUCGACCUCACAACCCGCCAAUCGGCCACGCACAGUUUGUCCAACUGACCCAACUAGAUAUAUAAGAGGAUGUUUUUUCUCCCAUUGCAACGCACAAGCCUUUUUGCUAGUUAUGCUAAAGUCCCACAGGACCCGGCACAAGAAGACCAACUGUCCCCAAUGAAGUGAAUCAUAAAUUGGAAUAAUCCAACCUCUAGACGCCUGAACGAAGACCUGAUCCGAUCCACCGAAGACAAAGACAGGCUGAACCCCUCAAGAUCCGUUUAAUCUAAACGUAUCUGGAUCCAAAUUAAACGUCUCUGGAAAUAUUAGCACUUUUUCGACUAAUCUAAUCCAUGAGUAAACAGUAAGCAUGGCAAAUACGGUAUGCAUCUUAUACCGAUACCUAAGCAUGUGAGCAUGUACAGUACAUAAAACCGAAACAUCUAUGAACAACAUAUAUACGGCUAGCACAAGAACAAGCAAAUAGGGGAUGAACGAGUCAUACCCUCCGGUUGGCCAGGCCAACGCGGCGGCGGCAGCGGCAGCCUCGGCAUCAACCAAGGCCUUCUUCUUGGCGGCGGCAUCGUUAGCCAUGGGGUCGAUUGUCGGUGUCAAAACCGGCGGAUCUCGGGUAGGGGGUCCCGAACUGUGCGUCUAGGCAGAUGGUAACAGGAGGCAGGGGACACAAUGUUUUACCCAGGUUCGGGCCCUCUUUAUGGAGGUAAAACCCUACGUCCUGCUUGAUUAAUAUUGAUGAUAUGGGUAGUUCGAGAGUAGAUCUACCACGAGAUCAAGGAGGCUAAACCCUAGAAGCUAGCCUAUGGUAUGAUUGUCGUCCCUACGGACUAAAACCCUCCGGUUUAUAUAGACACCGGAGAGGGCAAGGGUUACACAGAGUCGGUUACAAUGGUAGGAAAUCUACAUAUUCGUAUCGCCAGGCUUGCCUUCCACGCCAAGAAAAGUCCCUUCCGGACACGGGACGAAGUCUUCAAUCUUGUAUCUUCAUAGUCCAGGAGUCCAGCCGAAGGUAUAGUCCGGCUAUCCGGACACCCCCUAAUCCAGGACUCCCUCAGUAGCCCCCGAACUAGGCUUCAAUGACGACGAGUCCGGUGCGCAGACUGUUUUCGGCAUUGCCAGGCGGGUUCUCCAAAUUCCGUGUACCUGUUGAAUAAUGUCUGGUUUCUUGUAGCGCUCCUUGGCUUCUACGCCCAAUAAUGGCCGUCUUCCACGUGUCAAACGAAUACGAAAAGUCAGGGUGUCUUUUUUUAUAUUUACACCCCUAGUCGCGUGAAUGAGCCGCCUAUUUAAGGGGACGAGGAUUUAGAUCCAAACCACACCUCCUCCCCUCCGCGAGUAUUCAUCAGAGCGUAUCCGACAGAGGUCCAUUCUAUCAUGGCCGGCCGCCGCAACUCCUCCUCUCGCCCUUCCAGCCCUCAGCCUGGAGAUUGGAAGAGGUGCUCCAUCCCGCACAGCCAGCUAGCCACGCUCCAGACCAAGGGAUUUCUUCCCCCGCCCUAUAUGGUCCCGGUUCGAGCCGGACUUGCCACCUAUAAUGGCGGAGAGCAAGCGGAGAGCGCCCCCAAUCCCUCCAAAGGAGAGCGAGUAUGCCUUGUCCCUUACUUAAUAAGAGGGCUCGGAUUUCCAAUUCAUCCGUUUCUCCGGGGGCUCCUGGAGUUCUAUGGCCUCCAACUGCACAACCUCACGCCUGCCUCCAUAUUGCAUAUCGUGGGCUUUGUAGCCCUUUGCGAGCUGUUUUUGGGCUGCGAGGCUCAUUUCACCCUGGGAAAAGGCUAUUCUGCCUUGUGCCCCGUUCUAAGAAGUGGUCAAUAUAUCAAGUGGGCGGAGCCGAAGUGUGGCGCAUCGCCGGGACCGGAUAUCUAUCCGGAACCCCAAAGAAGGCGUCCGAAGACUGGCCUUCGGAAUGGUUUUAUAUAGAGGAUGUCCCACAGCCAGAUCCUAUCCGGAUCGGCCUCCCUGAGUUUGACAGUGCUCCCCUAAAGAAGCGCCUCAGCUGGCGUCCACGGAGCCCUCAGAGGGAGAGCGACAAGGACGUUCUUUACCUGAUGGGCCGGAUAAGAUUGUUAGCUUAUUCUGGACUUACCAUGAUCGGGGUCAUGGCCGCAUGCAUCAUGCGAGGGGUGCAGCCGCUUCAGUAUAGAGGCCGCCCCAUGUGGGACUUCAACGGGGAGGACGACGCCACCCGCCACGGCCGUAAGGGGCCGGAUUCGGCUGCCGCUCUAAUAAAGAUCUUGUCCACUUUGUACAAGGGAGAAGAGGAGGAAUUUCUCCGCGUCAACCCACAGAGUGGAUUUUCUAUGUACAAUCCCCCAAGUUGGUGUUGGGGAACGUUGCAGAAAACAAAAAUUUUCCUACGGUUUCACCAAGAUCCAUCUAUGAGUUCAUCUAGCAACGAGUGAUCGGAUGCAUCUACAUACCUUUCUAGAUCGCGAGCGGAAGCGUUCAAAGAACGGGGAUGAGGUAGUCGAACACGACGUGAUCCAAAUCACCGGAGAUCCUAGCACCGAACGGACGGCACCUCCGCGUUCAACACACGUACAGUCAGCGUAACGUCUCCUUCUUCUUGAUCCAGCAAGAGGGAAGGAGAGGUUGAGGAAGAUGGCUCCGGCAGCAGCACGACGGCGUGGUGGAGAUGGAGCUGCAGUACUCCGUCAGGGCUUCGCCAAGCGCUAUGGAGGAGGAGGAGGUGUUGGAGAGGGAGAAGGAGGCAACCAAAGGCAUAGAUCAAAAGCCCUCCUUCCCCCACUAUAUAUAGGAGGGCCAAGGGGGGGGGCGCCGGCCCUAGGAGAUCCAAUCUCCUAGGGGGGCGGCGGCCAAGGGAGGUUUCCCUCCUCCCCAAGGCACCUAGGGGUGCCUUCCACUAGUGGGACUCCUCCCCUUUGGAAACCCUAGGCGCAUGGGCCUAUUGGGGCUGGUGCCCUUGGCCCAUGUAGGCCAAGGCACACCCCUACAGCCCAUGUGGCCCCCGGGGCAGGUGGCCCCACCCGGUGGACCCCCGGGACCCUUCCGGUGGUACCGGUACAAUACCGAUAACCCCGAAACUUGUCCCGAUGGCCGAAAUAGCACUUCCUAUAUAUAAUUCUUUACCUCCGGACCAUUCCGGAACUCCUCGUGACGUCCGGGAUCUCAUCCGAGACUCCGAACAACAUUAGGGUUACUGCAUAUACAUAUCCCUACAACCCUAGCGUCACCGAACCUUAAGUGUGUAGACCCUACGGGUUCGGGAGAUAUGUAGACAUGACCGAGACGACUCUCCGGUCAAUAACCAACAGCGGGAUCUGGAUACCCAUGUUGGCUCCCACAUACUCCACGAUGAUCUCAUCGGAUGAACCACGAUGUCGAGGAUUCAAGCAACCCCGUAUGCAAUUCCCUUUGUCAAUCGGUAUGUUACUUGCCCGAGAUUCGAUCGUCGGUAUCCCAAUACCUCGUUCAAUCUCGUUACCGGCAAGUCACUUUACUCGUACCGUAAUGCAUGAUCCCAUGACCAGACACUUGGUCACUUUGAGCUCAUUAUGAUGACGCAUUACCGAGUGGGCCCAGUGAUACCUCUCCGUCAUACGGAGUGACAAAUCCCAGUCUCGAUCCGUGUCAAACCAACAGACACUUUCGGAGAUACCUGUAGUGCACCUUUAUAGUCACACAGUUACGUUGUGACGUUUGGUACACCCAAAGCACUCCUACGGUACCCGGGAGUUACACGAUCUCAUGGUCAAAGGAAAAGAUACUUGACAUUGGAAAAGCUCUAGCAAAUGAACUACACGAUCUUGCGCUAUGCUUAGGAUUGGGUCUUGUCCAUCACAUCAUUCUCCUAAUGAUGUGAUCCCGUUAUCAAUGACAUCCAAUGUCCAUAGCCAGGAAACCAUGACUAUCUGUUGAUCAACGAGCUAGUCAACCAGAGGCUUACUAGGGACAUAUUAUGGUCUAUGUAUUCACACGUGUAUUACGAUUUCCGGAUAAUACAGUUAUAGCAUGAAUAAAGACAAUUAUCAUGAACAAAGAAAUAUAAUAAUAAUACUUUUAUUAUUGCCUCUAGGGCAUAUUUCCAACAGUCUCCCACUUGCACUAGAGUCAAUAAUCUAGUUACAUUGUUAUGAAUCGAACACCCAUGGAAUUCUGGUGUUGAUCAUGUUUUGCCCUAGGGAGAGGUUUAGUCAACGGAUCUGCUACAUUCAGGUCCGUAUGUACUUUACAAAUCUCUAUGUCUCCAUCUUGAACAUUUUCACGAAUGGAGUUGAAGCGACGCUUGAUGUGCCUUGUCUUCUUGUGAAACCUGGGCUCCUUGGCAAGUGCAAUAGCUCCAGUGUUGUCACAGAAGAGUUUGAUUGGCCCCGACGCAUUGGGUAUGGCUCCUAGGUCGGUGAUGAACUCCUUCACCCAUAUUGCUUCAUGUGCUGCCUCCGAGGCUGCCAUGUACUCCGCUUCACAUGUAGAUCCCGCCACGACGCUCUGCUUGCAGCUGCACCAGCUCACUGCUCCACCAUUCAACAUAUACACGUAUCCGGUUUGUGACUUAGAGUCAUCCAGAUCUGUGUCGAAGCUAGCGUCGACGUAACCCUUUACGACAAGCUCUUCGUCACCUCCAUAAACGAGAAACAUUUCCUUAGUCCUUUUCAGGUACUUCAGGAUAUUCUUGACCGUUGUCCAGUGUUCCUUGCCGGGAUUACUUUGGUACCUUCCUACCAAACUUACGGCAAGGUUUACAUCAGGUCUGGUACACAGCAUGUCAUAUAUAAUAGAUCCUAUGGCUGAAGCAUAGGGGAUGACACUCAUCUCUUCUUUAUCUUUUGCCGUGGUCGGACAUUGAGCUGAGCUCAAUUUCAUACCUUGCAAAACAGGAAAGAACCCUUUCUUGGACUGAUCCAUUUUGAACUUCUUCAAAAUCUUAUCAAGGUAUGUGCUUUGUGAAAGACCUAUAAGGCGUCUCGAUCUAUCCCUAUAGAUCUUGAUGCCUAAUAUAUAAGCAGCUUCUCCAAGGUCCUUCAUUGAAAAACUCUUAUUCAAGUAGGCCUUAAUGCUGUCCAAAAGUUCUAUAUCAUUUCCCAUCAAAAGUAUGUCAUCUACAUAUAAUAUGAGAAAUGCUACGGAGCUCCCACUCACUUUCUUGUAAACACAGGCUUCUCCAUAAGUCUGCAUAAACCCAAACGCUUUGAUCAUCUCAUCAAAGCGAAUGUUCCAACUCCGAGAUGCUUGCACCAGCCCAUAAAUCGAGCGUUGGAGCUUGCACACCUUGUCAGCAUUCUUAGGAUCGACAAAACCUUCCGGCUGCAUCAUAUACAAUUCUUCCUUAAGGAAACCAUUAAGGAAUGCCGUUUUGACAUCCAUUUGCCAUAUCUCAUAAUCGAAGAAUGCGGCAACUGCUAACAUAAUUCGGACGUACUUCAGCUUCGCUACCGGUGAGAAAGUCUCAUCGUAGUCAACCCCUUGAACUUGUCGAUAACCCUUAGCGAUAAGCCGAGCUUUAUAGAUGGUCACAUUACCAUUCGCGUCUGUCUUCUUCCUAAAGAUCCAUUUAUUUUCUAUGGCUCGCCGUUCAACGGGCAAGUCAGUCAAAGUCCAUACUUCGUUUUCAUACAUGGAUCCUAUCUCGGAUUUCAUGGCUUCUAGCCAUUUGUCGGAAUCCGGGCCCGCCAUUGCUUCUUCAUAGUUCGAAGGUUCACCGUUGUCUAACAACAUGAUUUCCAAGACAGGGUUGCCGUACCACUCUGGUGCGAAACGUGUCCUUGUGGACCUUCGAAUUUCAGCAGGAGCUUGAUCAGAAGUAUCUUGAUCAUCAUCAUUAACUUCCUCUCUAGUCGGUGCAGGCACCUCAGGAACAUUUUCUUGAGUUGUGCCCUUUUCCGGUUCAAGAGGUAAUACUUCAUCAAGUUCUACUUUCCUCCCACUUACUUCUUUCGAGAGAAACUCUUUCUCCAGAAAGAGUCUGUUCUUGGCAACAAAGAUCUUGCCUUCGGAUCUUAGGUAGAAGGUAUACCCAAUGGUUUCCUUAGGGUAUCCUAUGAAGACGCAUUUUUCCGACUUGGGUUCGAGCUUCUCAGGUUGAAGUUUCUUGACAUAAGCAUCGCAUCCCCAAACUUUUAGAAACGACAGCUUAGGUUUCUUCCCAAACCAUAAUUCAUACGUGUCAUCUCAACGGAUUUAGAUGGAGCCCUAUUUAAAGUGAAUGUAGUUGUCUCUAGAGUGUAUCCCCAAAAUGAUAGCGGUAAAUCGGUAAGAGACAUCAUAGACCGCACCAUAUCCAAUAGAGUGCGAUUACGACGUUCGGACACACCGUUACGCCGAGGUGUUCCAGGCGGUGUGAGUUGUGAAACGAUUCCACAUUUCCUUAAGUGUGUACCAAAUUCGUGACUUAAAUAUUCUCCCCCACGAUCUGAUCAUAGGAACCUUAUCUUUCGGUCACGUUGAUUCUCUACCUCAUUCUGAAAUUCCUUGAACUUUUCAAAGGUCUCAGACUUGUGUUUCAUUAAGUAGACAUACCCAUAUCUACUCAAGUCCUCAGUGAGAGUGAGAACAUAACGAUAUCCUCCGCGAGCCUCAACGCUCAUUGGACCGCACACAUCAGUAUGUAUGAUUUCCAACAAGUUGGUCGCUCGCUCCAUUGUUCCGGAGAAUGGAGUCUUGGUCAUCUUGCCCAUGAGGCAUGUCUCGCAUGUGCCAAACGAUUCAUAAUCUAGAGACUCUAAAAGUCCAUCAGCAUGGAGCUUCUUCAUGCGCUUGACACCAAUGUGACCAAGGCGGCAGUGCCACAAGUAUAUGGGACUAUCGUUAUCAACUUUACAUCUUUUGGUAUUCACACCAUGAAUAUGUGUAAUAUUACGUUCGAGAUUCAUUAAGAAUAAACCAUUGACCAUCGAAGCAUGACCAUAAAACAUAGCUCUCAUAUAAAUAGAACAACCAUUAUUCUCGGAUUUAAAUGAGUAGCCAUCUCGUAUUAAAUGAGAUCCUGAUACAAUGUUCAUGCUCAAACUUGGCACUAAAUAACAAUUAUUGAGGUUUAUAACUAAUCCCGUAGGUAAAUGUAGAGGUAGCGUGCCGACGGCGAUCACAUCGACCUUGGAACCAUUCCCGACGCGCAUCGUCACCUCGUCCUUCGCCAGUCUCCGUUUAUUCCGCAGCUCCUGCUGUGAGUUACAAAUGUGAGCAACGGCACCGGUAUCAAAUACCCAGGAGCUACUACGAGUACUGGUAAGGUACACAUCAAUUACAUGUAUAUCAAAUAUACCUUUGGUGUUGCCGGCCUUCUUGUCCGCUAAGUAUUUGGGGCAGUUCCGUUUCCAAUGACCCUUCCCUUUGCAAUAAAAGCACUCCGUCUCAGGCUUGGGUCCAUUCUUUGACUUCUUCCCGGCAGCUUGCUUGCCGGGCGCGGCAACUUCCUUGCCGUCCUUCUUGAAGUUCUUUUUACCCUUGCCCUUCUUGAACUUAGUGGUUUUAUUCACCAUCAACACUUGAUGUUCCUUCUUGACUUCUACCUCUGUUGAUUUCAGCAUAGCAAAUACUUUAGGAAUGGUCUUUUCCAUCCCCUGCAUAUUGAAGUUCAUCACAAAGCUCUUGUAGCUUGGUGGAAGCAACUGGAGGAUUCUGUCAAUGACCGCAUCAUCCGGGAGAUUAACUCCCAGCUGAGUCAAGCGGUUAUGUAACCCAGACAUAGUGAGUAUGUGCUCACUGACAGAACUAUUUUCCUCCAUCUUACAGCUGAAGAAUUUGUCGGAGACUUCAUAUCUCUCAAUCCGGGCAUGAGCUUGAAAACCCAUUUUUAGCUCUUCGAACAUCUCAAAUGCUUCAUGUCUCUCAAAACACUUUUGGAGCCCCGGCUCUAGGCUGUAAAGCAUGCCGCACUGAACGAGGGAGUAGUCAUCAGCACGUGUCUGCCAAGCGUUCAUAACGUCUUGGUUCUGUGGGACGGGUGGAUCACCUAGCGGUGCUUGUAGGACAUAAUCUUUCUUGGCAGCUAUGAGGAUGAUCCUCAGGUUCCGGACCCAGUCCGUGUAGUUGCUGCCAUCGUCUUUCAGCUUGGUUUUAUCUAGGAACGCGUUGAAGUUGAGGACUACGUUGGCCAUUUGAUCUACAAGACAUAUUGUAAAGUUUUUAGACUAAGUUCAUGAUAAUUAAGUUCAUCUAAUCAAAUUAUUAAUGAACGCCCACUCAGAUUAGACAUCCCUCUAGUCAUCUAAGUGUUACACGAUCCGAGUCGACUAGGCCGUGUCCGAUCGUCACGUGAGACGGACUAGUCAUCGUCGGUGAACAUCUUCAUGUUGAUCGUAUCUUCCAUACGACUCGUGUUCAAGCUUUCGGUCUCUGUGUUCCGAGGCCAUGUCUGUACAUGCUAGGCUCGUCAAGUUAACCCUAAGUGUUUUGCAUGUGUAAAACUGUCUUACACCCGUUGUAUGUGAACGUAAGGAUCUAUCACACCCGAUCAUCACAUGGUGCUUCGAAACGACGAACUUUAGCAACGGUGCAAAGUUAGGGGAGAACACUUCUUGAAAUUGUUGUGAGGGAUCAUCUUAUUUACUACCGUCGUUCUAAGUAAACAAGAUGCAAAACAUGAUAAACAUCACAUGCAAUCAAAUAAUAAAUGUGACAUCAUAUGGCUAAUAUCACAUAGCUCCUUUGAUCUCCAUCUUGGGGCUCCAUGAUCAUCUUGUCACCGGCUUGACACCAUGAUCUCCAUCAUCAUGAUCUCCAUCAUCGUGUCUCCAUGAAGUUGCUCGCUAACUAUUACUUCUACUACUAUGGCUAACGCGUUUAGCAAUAAAGUAAAGUAAUUCACAUGGCGUUUCUCAAUGACACGCAGGUCAUACAAAAAAUAAAGACAACUCCUAUGGCUCCUGCCGAUUGUCAUACUCAUCGACAUGCAAGUCGUGAUUCUUAUUACAAUAGCAUGAAAAACUCAUACAUCACAUAUAGAUCAUUCAUCAUUCAUCACAACUUUGGCCAUAUCAUAUCACAAAGCACUUGCUGCAAAAACAAGUUAGACGUCUUCUAAUUGUUGUUGCAAGUUUUACGUGGCUGAAUUAGGGUUCUAGCAAGAACGUUUUCUUACCUACGUGAAAGCCACAACGUGAUUUGUCAGCUUCUAUUUACCCUUCAUAAGGACCCUUUUCAUCGAAUCCGCUCCAACUAAAGUAGGAGAGACAGACACCCGCCAGCCACCUUAUGCAACUAGUGCAUGUUAGUCGGUGGAACCGGUCUCACGCAAGCAUACGUGUAAGGUUGGUCCGGGCCGCUUCAUCCCACAAUACCGUUGAAGCAAGAUAAGACUAGUAGCGGCAAGAAAUUUGACAACAUCUACGCCCACAACAAAUUGUGUUCUACUCGCGCAAGAAGAACUACGCAUAGACCUAGCUCUGAUACCACUGUUGGGGAACGUUGCAGAAAACAAAAAUUUUCCUACGGUUUCACCAAGAUCCAUAUAUGAGUUCAUCCAGCAACGAGUGAUCGGAUGCAUCUACAUACCUUUGUAGAUCACGAGCGGAAGUGUUCAAAGAACGGGGAUGAGGUAGUCGAACACGACGUGAUCCAAAUCACCGGAGAUCCUAGCACCGAAGGGACGGCACCUCCGCGUUCAACACACGUACGAUCAGCGUAACAUCUCCUUCUUCUUGAUCCAGCAAGAGGGAAGGAGAGGUUGAGGAAGAUGGCUCCUGCAGCAGCACGACGGCGUGGUGGAGAUGGAGCUGCAGUACUCCGUCAGGGCUUCGCCAAGCGCUAUGGAGGAGGAGGAGGUGUUGGAGAGGGAGAAGGAGGCAACCAAAGGCAUAGAUCAAAAGCCCUCCUUCCCCCACUAUAUAUAGGAGGGCCAAGGGAGGGGCGCCGGCCCUAGGAGAUCCAAUCUCCUAGGGGGGGCGGCGGCCAAGGGAGGUUUCCCUCCUCCCCAAGGCACCUAGGGGUGCCUUCCACUAGUGGGACUCCUCCCCUUUGGAAACCCUAGGUGCAUGGGCCUAUUGGGGCUGGUGCCCUUGGCCCAUGUAGGCCAAGGCACACCCCUACAGCCCAUGUGGCCCCCGGGGCAGGUGGCCCCACCCGGUGGACCCCCAGGACCCUUCCGGUGGUCCCGGUACAAUACCGAUAAUCCCGAAACUUGUCCCGAUGGCCGAAAUAGCACUUCCUAUAUAUAAUUCUUUACCUCCGGACCAUUCCGGAACUCCUCGUGACGUCCGGGAUCUCAUACGGGACUCCGAACAACAUUCGGGUUACUGCAUAUACAUAUCCCUACAACCCUAGCGUCACCGAACCUUAAGUGUGUAGACCCUACGGGUUCGGGAGAUAUGUAGACAUGACCGAGACGACUCUCCGGUCAAUAACCAACAGCGGGAUCUGGAUACCCAUGUUGGCUCCCACAUACUCCACGAUGAUCUCAUCGGAUGAACCACGAUGUCGAGGAUUCAAGCAACCCCGUAUGCAAUUCCCUUUGUCAAUCGGUAUGUUACUUGCCCGAGAUUCGAUCGUCGGUAUCCCAAUACCUCGUUCAAUCUCGUUACCGGCAAGUCACUUUACUCGUACCGUAAUGCAUGAUCCCGUGACCAGACACUUGGCCACUUUGAGCUCAUUAUGAUGACGCAUUACCGAGUGGGCCCAGUGAUACCUCUCCGUCAUACGGAGUGACAAAUCCCAGUCUCGAUCUGUGUCAACCCAACAGACACUUUCGGAGAUACCUGUAGUGCACCUUUAUAGUCACCCAGUUACGUUGUGAUGUUUGGUACACCCAAAGCACUCCUACGGUAUCCGGGAGUUACACGAUCUCAUGGUCAAAGGAAAAGAUACUUGACAUUGGAAAAGCUCUAGCAAACAAACUACACGAUCUUCCACUAUGCUUGGGAUUGGGUCUUGUCCAUCACAUCAUUCUCCUAAUGAUGUGAUCCCGUUAUCAAUGACAUCCAAUGUCCAUAGCCAGGAAACCAUGACUAUCUGUUGAUCAACGAGCUAGUCAACUAGAGGCUUACUAGGGACAUAUUAUGGUCUAUGUAUUCACACGUGUAUUACGAUUUCCGGAUAAUACAGUUAUAGCAUGAAUAAAGACAAUUAUCAUGAACAAAGAAAUAUAAUAAUAAUACUUUUAUUAUUGCCUCUAGGGCAUAUUUCCAACAGUUGGGUAAGUGGACACUUUUACUUGCCCAUCCGUUUUAUAUUCCCAUUGUUAAAUAUUCAGUCUAACGACUUCAACGUAGGAACUGUGCCAGGCUGUUAAAGAAAUAAACAGCCCUCCUCCACAACCCGAGGAUCUGGGACGGUUCCUCGACCCAGCCUCUCAAGAGGAUCCGGACUUGUCUAUGGAGCUGAUUGAUGGGGUGUUUCAUCAAUUGAGCAAGGACAACGCCUUGGUGGCCAUUACGGCCGAUUACCCAGGGCUACUCCCAGCCUCACAGGUAACUGAGACCGAAGUCCCAGCACUUUGAAAAGGGAUCUAUCCUCGCGUGUUUUUGAUUGCCAUAUGACAACCGUGUUUUGCAGGGGAGGUCCUUGAGACGGGAGGCCGAGCCUGCGGCGACUAGCCAAUGAGGGGCGGCAAGGCCCCGCGGGCUGAAAAGAAGUGCGGUCCGGACUGAGACGCCAACGCAAAGGUAUAGUGCGCCAUCUUAUUCCCAGGUGUUAUUCCUUCAAGGCAUACUAACGCUCGUUCUCUCUUCAGGAUGAAGAGACCUCGCCGGACUAUAUCCGGAGAGGUUGCCAAUCGCGCCUCCACCAGCCAGGCUCCAAAGCCUGGUCCGGAAGCGGAGGCGAACACGAGGCGCGCACCGGACGCUCCUCCGACAGAGGAUGCGGACAGGCUGUCUGCCACCAAUUUCGAGGUGGAGAGUGCCAUGAACCACAGGCGUCGCCGGACAGUUCUUCGCGACGCUUGUUUCUCCCAAGAGGCAUUGGAUGCCUUCAAUUCAGGAGAUGCAUACCUCCGUGCCGCUCAAAAUGGUCUAGCCAGAGCCACGGAGCAAUAUGUAAAAGACAUACAGGUAAGAAAUUUUUGGUAAUUAUAUAUAUACCAGUAGCCCCCGAGACUUGAAACCGUUAGAAUAACUGAUUUAAGGAUCAUUUGUUAUGCAGGUUCUUACAGAAAAGAAUACCCUACUGUCCCAGGAGCUGGAAGAGUGCAAAGCCCAACUUGAGGCCGCACUAGACGCGGCGGGGGAGCCCAAGGAAACCCUCUCUGGUAAUAUACGCUUCGAAAGAUAAGUAUUUUGCGAAGUGUGGCGUGGGUGCAAAUCUGACAAAUGAAAUUGCAGAUGGCGCCGGAUUAAAUCCGGAAGAGCAACAACUCCGACGCCAGCUGAAGGCUGGUGAGAGCGUGCUGACAAAGGUGAGGCGGGAGAAGAACGAUCUCCAAGAUGCCAACACCAAGCUGGGUGUUGAACUGAAGGAUGUUUGUACCCAUCUGUUGGACUCCGUGAAUGAGAAUCAGCGGCUUCGAAGCGGCAUAUAUAGUAAGUGCUUAAACGAACUUUGAAAAAAGAGUUCAGCGAGGAAGUCGACUAACAGAGUAAUGUCUGUAGGUAUGCUAACAGGUCGUCCUGCAGAGGAAAUGCCCGGUUCUACGGGUGACCUUUUUCCCGAGCUCUCACAACUGCACGAGCGAGUUCGGCAGGUGAUGCAAAGUGUCGCCCAGGCCUUGUGGCCAUCCGUCUCCAUGCCCGAAGGCCUUGGAGAGCUUGUAGAGAAGCUGAAGGGAGCGCGGCGGCGCUUCCGAUUGUGGAAGAUGUCAGCCUACCGUCAAGGUGCUAGGGAGGCCUGGGCCAUGGUGAAUAUGCGGUACACGAAGGCUGACCCAAACCACAUGGCCGAGGUCAGACCCGUGGGGCCCGAUGGGAAGGAGAUCCCUGUGAGCUUAGUAUACGGCCAAGUAGAAUUGGCCGCAAAGUAUUCCCAACAGGACUGUAAACUAGACAGCCUGUUAGAUGGUAUUGAAGAGGAAUACAAUCAGUCAGAUUGACUAUGUAACUAUAAUUGACAUGUGUAAUGCCUUCUAGCCGGAUUGUAGAUCGUUUGUCAUGGACGACCUUUUCGCUUCAACCUCGGGACCUGACGGUCCGGAGUGUGUCUGAAUACCCUCGCGGUUAUAUAAGAACCGGGGUAUGCAUGGAGACGAGGUGUAGGGGUCAUUAGUGCUUGAACAGACAAGUGCCCAACUAGUUAUGUUAUAUUACAUGGUUAGUAAGAAACAUGUUCUAGGGAGAAUAGUUCCGUUAGGGGUUCCUUUCCCUAGGAGGCAUGCCCUAAAGUGCAUGUCCAUUCUCCGAAAAGAGAUGCAGGAAAAACAUCUGGGGGCGUAUAGAUAAAUAAGUGAAAAAAAUGUCAUCUUUAGUUCACCGACCGAAUAUUACCUUAAGAACGCUAGCUUUCGGCUUCACCCAGUCUAAGGUACACAUCCGGCUGACUCGGCAGUAACAAUCGCAGAGGUGCUCCCUUUACCACCUUGCCGAACAAUCGGGAACGUAGGGGUAAGCACAGGAGCCAGGCAACCCAUCUUGGCCAAAACUUAAGUCAUAUCGAUGCAUAUAAUGGUGAAUAAAAGGUACAUGCGGAAGUGUGACACAUAUGUUGGGCAUGAAGCCCGUAUAAAUAAGCUUCUGUUUAAGGAAGCCCCCAGGUUUAAUGAGCGCGGAUAGCGCAUCACUGUAUGAGCCUUUAAAGGCUAUAAGAGCGAGAGAGGAGAAGGAGAGAAAUGUAAGACAAAAAGUAUAUAAAAAAUGGACAGAGGAAGGAGACGAACAUAGAGUCCGGCGCUAGGCAUAGAAUCUUCGGAGACGGGCUGCGUUCCAUGGGUUCAGCUCGAAUCGGUUAUCCGAUGCAUCUCGCAGGCGGUACGCUCCACCAGUCAGGACUUGGUCAAUUAUGAAGGGACCUUCCCACUUGGGCUUGAGUUUGUCCUUUUUCUUGUCUGGCAGGCGUAGAACUAAUUCGCCAAUGUUGUAAUUUUUGGCCCAUACUUCUCUGCUUUGGUAUCUUCGAGCCUGCUGUUGAUAGAAUGCGGAACGGGCUUUUGCCACGUCACGCUCUUCCUCCAAGGCGUCCAAAUUGUCAUGCCGAUCGAGCUCGGCUUCUCUUUCUUCAUACAUGCGCACUCGAGGUGAGUCAUGAAUUAUGUCGCAGGGCAAAACUGCCUCUGCGCCAUACACCAUGAAGAAUGGUGUGUAUCCAGUGGUGCGAUUCGGCGUGGUCCGCAACCCCCAGAGUACGGAGUCGAACUCCUCUACCCAGUGCGUAUUAGAUUCCUUAAGGGACCGCACUAAUCUGGGUUUGAUGCCGCUCAUGAUAAGACCAUUUGCACAUUCGACCUGGCCGUUAGUUUGUGGGUGAUAGACGGAAGCAUAAUCGAGCUUGAUGCCCAUGUUUUUGCACCAGAGUUUUACCUCGUCGGCCGUAAAGUUCGUGCCGUUAUCAGUGAUGAUGUUGUGGGGGACGUCGUAACGGUGUACAACCCCGGAUAUGAAGUCUAUCACCGGUCCGGAUUCGACUGUCUUAAGAGGCUUGGCUUCUAUCUAUUUGGUGAACUUAUCCACCAUGACCAGUAAGUAUUUUUUCUUGUGGGUUCCGCCUUUAAGGGGUCCAACCAUGUCAAGCCCCCAGACCGCGAAGGGCCAAGUGAUGGGGAUAGUUUGGAGGGCGGUGGGUGGCAUAUGGCUUUGGUUUGCAAAAAGCUGGCAACUGACGCAUCGUUCGACUAAGUCCUGGGCGUCUGCCCGGGCCGUCGGCCAAUAAAAGCCUGUACGGAAGGCCUUGCUUACAAGGGACCGAGCUGCAGCGUGAUGACCAUCGAGUCCGGCAUGAAUUUCAGCCAGGAGGUUUCGCCCUUCCUCUUUGGAGAUGCACCUUUAAAGGACUCCGGUAGCGCUUUUCUUAUAAAGCUCUCCCUCAUGGACUUUAUAGGCUUUAGAUCGCCGCACUAUGCAGCGUGCCUCAUUUUGGUCGUCUGGGAGUUCCUGCCUAGUAAGGUAGGCGAGGAAUGGUUCUGUCCACGGGGCGAUGACGGCCAUUAUUACGUGGGCUGAAGGUGUUAUUUCAUUGGCAGAGCCUCCAAUUAUGUCAGAGUGUUCGGCGUCGGGCAGUGCGGUUGGGUCCGGGCUGUUAUUGCCGGGUUCCCCUUCCCAUACUACGGAUGGCUUGAACAGCCUUUCCAAGAAGAUGUUGGGGGGGACUACAUCGUGUUUUGCGCCGAUGCGUGCCAGGACAUCUGCCGCCUGAUUAUUUUCCCGGGCUAUAUGGUGAAAUUCGAGCCCUUCGAACCGAGCUGACAUUUUUAGGACGGCGUUGCGAUAAGCUGCCAUUUUUGGAUCCUUGGCAUCAAAGUCUCCAUUUAUUUGGGAUAUUGCGAGGUUCGAGUCCCUGCGCACCUCUAGGCGUUGAAUGCCCAUGGAUACCGCCAUCCGAAGACCAUGUAAAAGGGCCUCAUAUUCAGCUGCAUUGUUGGAGUCUGUGUACAUUAUCUGGAGUAUGUAUUGAACUGUGUCUCCUGUGGGGGAUGUCAAAAUGACGCCAGCCCCUAGACCGGCCAACAUUUUGGAGCCGUCGAAGUGCAUGACCCAGUUUGAAUAUGUGUCGUACUCUUUAGGGAGUUCGGCCUCCGUCCAUUCUGCGACGAAGUCGGCCAAAACUUGCGACUUGAUAGCUCGCCGUGGCUUGUAAGUUAUGUCGAACGGGAGGAGCUCAAUGGCCCAUUUUGCAAUACGGCCCGUCGCGUCUCGGUUGUUUAUAAUAUCGUUAAGUGGCACUUCCGAGGCUACUGUUAUUGAACACUCUUGAAAGUGGUGUCGCAGCUUCCGGGAUGCCAUAAAUACCGCGUGCGCAAUCUUUUGAUAAUGCGGGUACCGUGACUUGCACGGAGUAAGGACAGUGGAUACAUAGUACACCGACUUUUGAAGGGGGAAUUUGUGUCCGUCCGUUUCUCGUUCAACGACGAGCACUGCGCUUACGACCUGAUCGGUUCCUGCAAUGUAUGUUCGGAGGUUACCGAAUGUUAGCCUCAAGUCGUCUACUAGAUAUUCGACAUGUCUUGUUUUAACGACCACAUCAUCUACGUAUGCCUCCACUGUUUUGCCGAUCUGGUUUGCCAGACAUGUUUGAAUCAUGCGCUGAUAUGUUGCACCGGCGUUUUUGAGCCUGAAGGGCAUUGUGUUGAAGCAAAAUGGGCCGUAUAGUGUGAUGAAUGCCGUUGCGGCUUGGUCUGACUCUGCCAUCUUUAUUUGAUGGUAGCCGGAGUAUGUGUCGAGGAAACACAACGAAUCGUGUCCUGCGGUAGCGUCGAUAAUUUGAUCGAUGCGGGGAAGAGGGAAGGGAUCCUUUGGGCAAGCCUUGUUAAGGUCUUUAAAUCAACGCACAGGCGCCAAGAUUUGUCCUUCUUUGGUACCAUCACGAGGUUUGCUAGACAGUCUGGGUGUUUUAUAUCUUUGAUGAAUCCGGCCUCCAGUAGCUUGGUUAGUUCCUCUCCCAUGGUCUGUCUCUUAGAUUCGGAAAAAUGCCGAAGAGCCUGUUUGACUGGCUUGAAUCCUUUUAGGAUAUUUAAGCUGUGUUCAGCCAGCCUGCGUGGGAUUCCUGGCAUGUCUGAAGGGUGCCAGGCGAAAAUGUCCCAGUUCUCUCGUAGGAACUCUCGUAGUGCGGCGUCUACAUCAGGGUUUAACUGUGCUCCGAUGGAAGCUGCUUUAUUGGGGUCCGUUGGGUGGACCUGGAAUUUGACUAUUUCGUCCGCCGGUUUAAAGGAGGUGGACUUGGAUCUUUUGACGAGUAUCACAUCGUCCGUAUUCACCGUGGAGCGCAGCGCAGUCAGUUCCUCAGCCGCUAGGGCUUCGGAUAGCACCUCGAGGGCCAGUGCGGCUGUCUUGUUUUCGACGCGGAGUGCUAUGUCCGGAUCACUAGCGAGAGUGAUGAUUCGGUUAGGCCCGGGCAUCUUGAGCUUCAUGUACCCGUAAUGGGGUAUUGCUUGGAAGAUUGUAAAUGCUUCCCGCCCUAGCAGAGCGUGAUAUCCGCUACUGAACGGGGCCACUUGGGACGUGACCUCUUCGGACCUAUAAUUAUCCGGCGUGCCGAACACCACAUCUAGUGUGAUUUUUCCUGUAUAGCACGCUUCCCGACUGGGGAUUAUUCCUCUAAAGGUUGUGCUGCUUCGCCCAAUGCAGUUCCGGUCUAUUUCCAUUUUUUGAAGGGUUUCCUCAUAAAUGAGGUUCAAUCUGCUGCCGCCAUCCAUGAGUACCUUGGUAAGACGAAAGCCGUCCACUAUUGGACUGAGGACCAAUGAGGCUGGUGCUCGGGCUGUUCAGAAUUUAGGUUCAUCACUGGCGUUAAAUGUAAUAGCCGUGUCACUCCAUGGGUUUAUUGUUGCUACUUGGUAGACUUCGGCAAGGAUGCGGAGUGUUCUUUUUCGCAUAUUAUUUGAUGCGAAAGUCUCAAAGACUGUUGAUACCGUACUGGUGUCUCUGGGGUGGCUUUCUGUGGCUUCUGGAAUUAGAAGAUCUUCGCCAAUUUUUGCCACCUGCCGGAGUAUCCAACAUGCUCUAAAGCUAUGAGUUGGUGUGGCGCCCUCUGCACUGUGAAUUUUAUAGGGUCCAUUAAGCCAUCCUUCCAGCACGGUUCCGUGCCCUGUAGAGGGCUUUUGCUUUUUGGUAUUGAACCCGGGUGUCUGGCGAUGAUGCACCCUUUUAUUUCGGACUAGGUUUGUAUUCAAGGCCGGAUUGUCCCAAAAUUUUAUUUCGGUUUUCCAGGCGCUUUCCAUCACAUAGUACUUUCGUACUAUGGACGCCAAGUCAGCGAAGCGUGUAAUAUCACGGCGACUUAUGGCGUUGAGGAUUCCCUUGUCCGUGCAAUUAUUGCAGAAGAAUGAAAUUGCGUCUUCCUCGCGACAGUCCUUUAUCCUGUUCAUAAUCAGGAGGAAUCUGGCCCAGUAAUGAUGUACUGUUUCUUCGGGCUCUUGCCUAAUUUGAGAUAGAUCGCUUAUGUAUGGGUGGGUGGGUGGAAUCAAAUCCGAAACCUCACCCAAUCUGAGACCCAGGGGCCAAGGAGUUUCCGAACUCGGAAGUUUGGAUUCUUGGAUGCUGUCCAAUGAAUCUAGCCCAUCGCCCGACUUUAAGUUCAGGUCUUGAGUGAUGUCCUCCCCUCCGCGGGUAUCCGGCUUGGAGGGAUCGGGAAUCCGGACAUAGCUAGUCCUUAAUAUAGAUGAAGGGUCGCCGCACUGUCCCUCUACCACAGCAACGUGAUGGGUGACCUGGGGAGAGUUAAUCUCUCUCAGAUCGGGUUUAGGCCCAAUCUGGUCGUAAUCCGUAGCGACUCCCAAGGCGGCGAAGCGAUCCAAGAGCUUGUUUAGGGAAGAGAGCUCCAUUGGAUCUAGCUGCUCGGCGAAUUCCGAGCUGACAUGAAGAUUCCUUUCGAUGACCCGAGAGGUCAUCGUCGACGCAGCAGCCGAACAGGCGGUCAUAAGGAAACCACCUAGCCUGAGAGUCUGGCCGACAGCCAAAGCUCCCUUAGCAACGGUGCCGUCUUUAAAGAUGGGCUGAGGCAUCCUUCCUAAUGGAGACGGCACAGAGGAACUCUCAAUGAAAGCACCAAUGUCGGUGUCAAAACCGGCGGAUCUCGGGCAGGGGGUCCCGAACUAUGCGUCUAGGCGGAUGGUAACAGGAGGCAGGGGACACAAUGUUUUACCCAGGUUCAGGCCCUCUUUAUGGAGGUAAAACCCUACAUCCUGCUUGAUUAAUAUUGAUGAUAUGGGUAGUACAAGAGUAGAUCUACCACGAGAUCAAGGAGGCUAAACCCUCCAAGCUAGCCUAUGGUAUGAUUGUCGUCCCUACAGACUAAAACCCUCCGGUUUAUAUAGACACCGGAGAGGGCUAGGGUUACACAGAGUCGGUUACAAUGGUAGGAAAUCUACAUAUCCGUAUCGCCAAGCUUGCCUUCCACGCCAAGGAAAGUCCCUUCCGGACACGGGACGAAGUCUUCAAUCUUGUAUCUUCAUAGUCCAGGAGUCCGGCCGAAGGUAUAGUCCGGCUAUCCGGACAUCCCCUAAUCUAGGACUCCCUCAUCGAUGUAGGGGAAGUAGUGGAAGCAGAGGCGGACGGAGACGGGGACGGAUCGGGAGCAGACGCGUCGAGACGCUCCCCAAAAAUCCUAUUGCCGUUCUCCCGGGCAGGAUCUCAAACGACAGGAUUCCGGAGGCACCUGCUCUCCCGACCAACCGUGCAUGAGGUUGUCGGGAUGGGAUCGCCAUAAGCAGUACAGUGAGAGGAACAGUAGAUGACGGCAAGGAUUGUGCGAGAGGGAGUGAGUGAACUGAGUUAGGGUUCACUCCAUUGGCCAGCGCCUUCUUAUAUAGGCCGUCGGCUAGAUGGGCCUAGGCUCAGGCUCAUGGCCGACUCCGCGAACAGCCCACGGUCCAACUCUCGGACAGUGGCACUUCCGUAAGCGACUCGUUAAUUAAUCCAAUAUUAAUUAAGCAUUCCUGAAAGGCAAAAAUAAGCUUCGGCUCGGCUCAUUCCCGCAACCCGCGGCGUGCGCGCGUCGUGACGAGGCGAGGCGGGCGGCGGAGGAGGAGGAGCGCGCGUGUACAACUCCUAUUCCCAAGCUCCCAAUAGCAAGUGAUGGAGCAGCCCUUAUAAAGAGGUCUCACUCUUCUUACUGUAGCAACAUGAUACUAAACAUCCCACACUUCCCACCACUUACCAUACACAUGCAUGGGCCUUAGAGAUUAACCAAGGAUUGUUGUCUUAUAUGGGCCUAAGCCCAUCCAUAAUCCAACAACCCCCCACCAGAUCUCGAGGCACAUAAGUUUGUCAACUAUUCCAAACAAUGUUUGAUAUACCAGAAUUUUUAGUGGAGACUGUUAAGUUGAAAUUCCACCUAGAACAAUAGGAUUAGACCUCUUCACAACUGAAGAAUGGACUAUGCCUUGAAUUGUCAGUUUGGCGUGCAGAAGUUUCGCCUAUUGUCAGCUGAUACGUGGCUGCCGAAGGCUAAACCCCACGGGUGGAGCUUAUUAGUCAUACUCCGUACCUUGUCAUGAGCUUCCUAGAGAUCACCCAAUCUCAUAGACCGUGACAGUGAAGGAAAUAUGCCCUAGAGGCAAUAAUAAAGUUGUUAUUUAUAUUUCCUUAUAUCAUGAUAAAUGUUUAUUAUUCAUGCUAGAAUUGUAUUAACCGGAAACUUAGUACAUGUGUGAAUACAUUGACAAACAGAAUGUCACUAGUGUGCCUCUACUUGGCUAGCUCGUUGAAUUAAUGAUGGUUAUGUUUCCUAACCAUAGACAUCAGUUGUCAUUUGAUUAAUGUGAUCACAUCAUUAUAGAAUGAUGUGAUUGACUUGACCCAUCCGUUAGCUUAGCACGAUGAUCGUUUAGUUUGUUGCUAUUGCUUUCUCCAUAGCUUAUACAUGUUCCUAUGACUAUGAGAUCAUGCAACUCCCGAAUACCGGAGGAACACUUAGUGUGCUAUCAAACAUCACAACGUAACUGGGUGACUAUAAAGAUGCUCUACAGGUGUCUCUGAUGGUGUUUGUUGAGUUGGCAUAGAUCAAGAUUAGGAUUUGUCACUCCGAGUAUCGGAGAGGUAUCUCUAGGCCCUCUCGGUUAUGCACAUCACUAUAAGCCUUGCAAGCAAUGUGACUAAUAAGUUAGUUACGGGAUGAUGCAUUACGGAACGAGUAAAGAGACUUGCUGGUAACGAUAUUGAAAUAGGUAUUGAGAUACCGACAAUCGAAUCUCGGGCAAGUAACAUACCGAUGACAAAGGGAAAAACGUAUGUUGUUGUGUGGUUUGACCGAUGAAGAUCUUCUUAGCAUAUGUAGGAAACUAUAUGAGCAUCCAGGUUCCACUAUUGGUUAUUGACCGGAGAUGAGUCUCGGUCAUGUCUACAUAGUUCUCGAACGCGUAGGGUCCGCACGCUUAACGUUCGGUGAUAAUUGGUAUUAUGAGUUUAUGUGUUUUGAUGUACCGAAGGUAGUUCGGAGUCUCGGAUAUGAUCACAGACAUGAUGAUGAGUCUCAAAAUGGUUGAGACAUAAAGAUCGAUAUAUUGGAUGGCUAUAUUCGGACACGGAAGUGUUCUGGGCGAUUUCGAAGAAAACCGGAGUGCCGGAGGGUUACCGGACCCCCCCGGGGAACUAAUGGGCCACAUGGGCCUUAGUGGAGAGAGAGAGAGGGCCAGCCAGGGUAGGCCACGCGCCCCCUCCCCCUCUAGUACGAAUUGGACUAGGGAAGGGGGGGGGGCGCCCUCAUUUCCUUCUCCCUCUCCUCCUUCCUUUCCCCCUCCUAGUAGGACUAGGAAAAGGGGAGUCCUACUCCUACUAGGAGGAGGAUUCCUCCUCUCCUGGCAUGCCCCAAGGGCCGGCUGGCCUCCCCCCUUGCUCCUUUAUAUACAGGGGCAGGGGGCACCCUAGAACACACAAGUUGAUCAUUGAUCUCUUAGCUGUGUGCGGUGCUCCCUCCACCAUAAUCCACCUCGGUCAUAUCGUCGUAGUGCUUAGGCGAAGCCCUACGCCGGUAGCUUGGUCAUCACCGUCAUCACACCGUCGUGCUGACGAAGCUCUCCCUCGACGCUCAGCUAGAUAGAGAGUUCGUGGAACGUCACUGAGUCGAACGUGUGCAGAUCGCGGAGGUCCCGUACUUUUGGUACUAGGAUCGGUCGGAUCGUGAAGACUGACGACUACAUAAACCGCGUUGUCAUAACGCUUCCGCUUACGGUCUACGAGGGUACGUGGACAACACUCUUCCUCUCUCGUUGAUAUGCAUCACCAUGUUAGAUCUUGCGUGUGCGUAGGUUUUUUUGAAAUUACCGCGUUCCCCAACAACCAGUAGUCGGGCUCACAUAGGUGUGUUCCUCCAAAGAAUGCUCUGUAGGUUAGCAUCUUGCUUACAUAAGCUUUGGAACACAUUAAGACAAAAGUCAGCGUGCCUUACAAAAUUGAGAGUAUUAUUGCAUCUCCAAUAGAGUGGGUUAGGUAAGGAUAUGUUGUGGAUAUUACUACUGGACGUAAACCGGCCAGGAGUAGCCAUAUUAACUCCAAGAAGAUCAGAAGCCCAUGAAGAUGUAAGGAUGGUGGCGCUUUACGAAGGCCCGAGGCCCAAAGGCGAAUUAAGGCCCAUAGAUGUAUACCGACUUUCUCAUGUAACUUGCAUUGUAAGAUAGGAAGGAUAAAGACCGAGCCGGACACGUUUAUGAUCCGGCCUCGGGACUCUGUAAACCGGCGGGCGUCAACCUAUGUAUAUAAAGGGACGACCCGACAGUGGUUCAGGGACAAUAGACAACAACUCGACAGCCAGGCAAAGCGGAUUCGCUCCCUGGACAUUGAAACCCCAGCAAUACCAAGCACAACUAGACGUAGGCUUUUACCUUCAUUGAAGGGGCCGAACUAGUAUAAAACCCCUCGUGUCCCUUGUCCGGUUUAACCACUUUAAGCUAAACCAUAGCGAUGGCUCCACGACUAAUUCCUUUCCCGAGGACAUCUGCCGUGACAAACCCACAACAGUUGGCGCCCACCAUGGGGAUAUCGCACGAUGGUUUCAAGUUCUUGAAGGGCAGCUUCGAAGGACUCAAGGGAUACGCUGUGGGCCAGAUGAUGAAGAGUCGUCGCGGCAAGCUCUACAUCGACGACGUAGGAUGGGGUCCCGAGGCUGGUUUAGUUGAAUACGGGUACCAGGUCCCCUUUGGCGGAAUUCAUGUCUUCAUCGGCAAGAUCGGCGAACCGGGCCCUGAGCCGGACACCUGCACCGACAUCAUCGAGACGGCUCAGCGUGCAAGCCCUACCCCGGUUCAGCCCGCGCGAAGGCAUGUUUUCGUAGGUGUCAUCCAUGGAGUGGAAUAUGAGGAUGGACCGACAUCUGAUGGGGAGGCUGUUGUCCAUUCUGAUGACGAGUCUUCAACCGGAGAAACCGAGUCACUGUACCAGCUGCAGGACGGACGGAUUAGUGGGAGUUUUGAUGGCAAAAGUAUUCCGGACCCCCUCGAUCUGCCAAGCCGGGUCACGGUCUUCAUGUCCGGUACACAACCAGCGCAGCACUCUUCUACCGCCACGGCGAUGUUCUCCGAUUCAGCAACGGCAACGCCAGCAGGAGUAGGGGGCUCUGCGCCGCCUCCCGCUCAGGUUUUGUCUGAUUUGUUCGACACUUUGGCAACAUUAAUGGCCGCAGAGGUGGACGCGGCAGCCCGGGAUCAGCACAAUGCGGAGAUUACAAAGGUGAAGGAUCAGAUAACUCAGGCUAAAGUGGACCUGGAAGUAGAGAAUGCCAGGAUGGCUGCAGAACGGGCCGAGUUGGAAGCUUAGGCCUACCGGCUUAGGUUGGACCAGAAUGCCUCGGAUGAGGUCAUGAGAAGGAGAUACCGGCACACCUCCCGCCGGGUUAUGAGCCGAGAAAUCUCUUCAACACGCCAGGAGCCGAAACUAGUAACCAGCCAGUGGUAAACCGGACGGAGGUGCCGGGAACAGGAGCGCCGGUUCAGCCGUGCAUGAUGAACCCGCCUCGUUAGAACAACGUUGUGCCGCAGUAUGUUCCGACGCCCCCGGGGCAUUACUCCAACCCGUUGGAUAACAUUGUGGCCGCCGCUUCACGGUUGGCAGCCCUCCCAACUGACGGCGAGUCACCAGUGGCGAUUGAGACACGACGGGCCAGAGAGCUCCUUCAAAUAGCUUUAAACUAGCAGCAGGCUUAUUCGCAUAGUCGCGAGAGGAUUCAUUCUACCCCCUGUCCAAGUCGGAGCUACAGCAGGCACAUUGAGGAUGAACCGACCGUGUCAAGCAGCGCACAUCACCGUAACUCGCCGCGAGGACAUAACCCAGCAGGUGGUGGUGCUAAUGCGCAGGGUGUGGUGGAUCAUGGCCAUGCACGUCAAGAAGCCGAGUUAGCGGCUCUGCACGCCGCUCGUCAACCUACUCCGGCUCGCCCUACCACCUCGGUGGAGCCCGACAUAGUCUUCAGUUCUUUAAGGGUGCCGUGUCUUACCCCUGCUUUGCGUAAUGUACGACUGCCCAAGGAUUUUAAAGGUCCUCGUAAGGUGGGCCAAUUACACCGCCGAUUUACAACCGGAAUCAUGGGUGGAGAGUUAUGAGAUGGCGAUGGAGAUGCUGGACGUGGAUGAAGCGGUGUGUGCAAAAUACUUCACCAUGAUGUUGGAGGGGACAGCUCGAACUUGGUUAAAGAGCUUACCAGUUAACUCUGCCGGGUCAUGGGCUGAGCUAAAGCACCGGUUUAUCCAGAAUUUCAAAGAUACAUGUAAGCAGCCUAUGUCAAUUGUGGACCUAGCCGCUUCUGUUCAAGAGGAGGGGGAGUCUACUACGCAUUGGGUGAAGCGAGUCUCAGCUAUUUUGCAUUCAUCAGACCGCAUUAAUGCAGAUACAACAGUUUUGAUGUUGGAAGGCAACUGCCGGUUUAUGCCAUUAAAAUUGAAGCUAUGGAGGCUCAAGCGUCACUGCAAUGAGAUGUCAACUCUUAUGGCUGCUUUGGUGAAAUACGCCGAUUCAGAUAGUACUAAAGACCCUGAGUCUGAGGAUGACAAACCGGGGAAAGGGAAAAAUAACGACAAUACCGAGGGGCAACAGCACAAUCUGGCAGGUCAUGGGAAUAAUGGCAAGCGCAAGGCAGACAAUAGUUUGGACUCUGUGGCUAACACCAAUGCUCAGGACAACGGUCAGCGUCGUAAGGGUAAACAGCCUCAGAGGGGCGGAGGGUCAGGCCCCAAUCUGGAGCGCCUGUUAAAUCAGCCUUGUCCAAAGCACAGAUCGAAGGAAAGGCCAGCUUCACAUCUUUGGAAGGAUUGUUUCAUUAUGCGGGAGUUUAAGAAUUAUAUGUUUCAAUAUGACAAUGGCCCGCCCGGCGGUUCAGGAGGCGGUUUUCAUGGGCCGGGUUACGGAGGUGGCAGCUCCGGUUUAGGAUUCCAAGGCAACCAAACCGGCAUGGCCAUCAAGGGAACCAGGGCAAUCAAGGAGGUUAUAACCAUCAAGGGAAUCAAUAGCAGCAACAGUCGGGUUAUCGAGCAAUCCGAAGCAGUUUAAUAGUGGGCAGUAUCAUGUCUUUACCACUAGCUUGUGUAAACGCGAUCAGAAGCUUCACAAGAGGGCAGUAUACUCUGUUGAACCGGCGGUGCCUCAGUAUCUGCGCUGGUCUGAGCAGCCCAUUUUAUGGAGUAGAGAGGAUCACCCACCCCAGGUUGAUAAUCCGGGUCAUGUGGCCUUAGUGGUGGCACCUCAGGUUGGGGGGAUAAGUUCACCAAGUUGCUUAUGGAUGGGGGAAGCAGUAUCAAUAUUCUUUACUAUGGUACCUUCCGCUGUAUGGGGUUGACAGAUAAGAAUCUUAAACCGUUGAACACCAUUUUUCAUGGUGUGGUGCCCGGUAAGUCUGCGUAUCCAGUGAGCAAGAUAGCCCUAGAGGUGGCCUUUGGAGAUGAUCAUGAUUCAAGGUUAGAAACAUUGACUUUUGAGGUGGUGAAAAUCAAGAGUUCGUAUCACGCCCUGUUUGGGUGACCGGCUUAUGCCAAGUUCAUGGCGAGGCCGUGUUAUGUUUAUCUGCAGCUUAAGAUGCUAGGUCAUAAGGGGACCAUCACAAUACAUGGGAGCAGGAAGAUUGCUUUGGAAUGUGAGGAAGGUGAUGCGGCUUACGCUGAGUCGGUUUGUGCCACAGAAGAGCGGAAGUUUUAUAAAGACAAGGUUGAUCCGACAGACAUGACUUCUUUGAAAAAGCCAACUACGGAGCACGAUCCGGCGUUGAAGUUUAAAUCGGCCACAGACACUAAGAUGGUUGAUUUUGUUCCUGGCGAUUCAUCCAAGCAGUUCAGCAUCAGCACUAACCUGGAUCCCAAAUAGGAAAGCGCGCUCAUCGAGUUCAUCCAUGAGAACCAGGACAUCUUUGCUUGGAAGCUUCUGACAUGCCAGGUGUAUCGAGGGAACUCGCUAAGCACACACUUAAUAUAGAUCCUAAGUUUAAACCGGUCAGGCAGUUUGUCCGCCGCUUCAACAAAGAAAGGCGUAAAGCUAUUGGUGAGGAGGUAGCUCGGCUGUUGGCCGCAGGGUUUAUCGUGGAAGUUUUUCACCCUAAGUGGUUAGCUAAUCCAGCGCUGGUUCGUUAGAAAAAUGGCAAUUGGCGUAUGUGUGUGGACUACAUAGAUUUGAACAAAGCUUGUCGAGGGAGUCCUGGAUUAGGGGUGUAUCCGGACAGCCGGACUAUAUCCUUUGGCCGGAUUGUUGGACUAUGAAGAUACAAGAUUGAAGACUUCGUUCCGUGUCCGGAUGGAACUCUCCGUGGCGUGGAAGGCAAGCUUGGCAAUACGGAUAUGUAGAUCUCCUUCCUUGUAACCGACUCUGUGUAACCCUAGCCCCCUCCGGUGUCUAUAUAAACCGGAGGGUUUAGUCCGUAGGACCAACAACAACAAUCAUACCAUAGGCUAGCUUUUAGGGUUUAGCCUCUUCGAUCUCGUGGUAGAUCAACUCUUGUACGACUCAUAUUAUCAAGAACAAUCAAGCAGGACGUAGGGUAUUACCUCCAUCAAGAGGGCCCGAACCUGGGUAAACAUCGUGUCCCCUGCCUCCUGUUACCAUCCGCCUAGACACACAGUUCGGGACCCCCUACCCGAGAUCCGCCGGUUUUGACACCGACAUUGGUGCUUUCUUUGAGAGUUCCUCUGUGUCGUCGUCGUUAGGCUUGAUGGAUCCUUCGAUCAUCGAUAGCGAUGCAGUCCAGGGUGAAACUUUUCUCCCCGGACAGAUCUUUGUAUUCGGCGGCUUCGCACUGCGAGCCAACUCGCUUGGCCAUCUAGAGCAGAUUGAGAGUUAUGCCCUUGGCCACCAGGUCAGGUUUGGAAGCUUAAACUACACGACCGACAUCCGCGGAGACUUGAUCUUCGACGGAUUCGAGCCCCUGCCGAGUGCGCCGCACGGUCACGAUGGGCAUGAUUUAGCUCUACCUUCGGACAGUGUUCAGGAGACCGCACCGGCAAAUGCUCCGACCCUCAAUUUGGAGCCAAUUGUGCCAUCCAUGGAUGGGUGGAUAGACCCGACCACGAGGGCCGUAUUCUCAGCAGCGAUCGAGCCAAGUAUCGACCUUACCCUUCACAGGAGCCAUGACGCCGAACUGCCGGAUUCUUCCUCGGCCACGGACUCCGAACCACCUGCGCCUGUGCCUAUCGAAUUCGACUGGGCGCCGAUCAUGGAGUUCACCUCCGCGGAUAUCUUUCAGCACUCGCCCUUCAGCGACAUACUGAGCUCAUUAAGGUCUCUUUCCUUGUCAGGAGAGUCCUGGCCGAACUAUGUCAGGCAGGAUUGGGAUGCGGAUGAUGAAGAAAUUCGCCGCCCACCCACCACCCACUUAGUAGCCACUGUCGACGAUUUAACAGACACGCUUGACUUCGACUCUGAAGACAUCGACGGUAUGGAUGACGAUGCAGGGGACGAACAGGAACCACUACCCACAGGGCACUGGACAGCCACCUCAUCAUAUGAUAUAUACAUGGUGGACACACCCAAAGAAGGCAAUGGCGACGGGACAACGGAGGAUGACCCCUCCAAGAAGCAACCCAAGCACCGACGACAGCGGCGCCGCUCUAAGUCUUGCCAAAGCAAAAGCGGUGAUAUCGGCACAGCAGAUAAUAGCACUCCGGACAGUGCCGAAGAUGACGACAAUCCCCUCUAGCAAGAUUUAGAGCAGGAGGACGGAGAAGCCAGCCCUCCCGAGAGAGCGGCAGAUGGAGAGGCAAAGGAUGAUAAUUACAUGCCUCCCUCCGAAGACGAGGCAAGCCUCGACGAUGACGAAUUUGUCAUGCCUAAGGAUCCCGUCGAGCAAGAGCGCUUCAAACGCCGACUUAUAGCCACGGCAAAUAGCCUUAUAAGAAAAAGCAACAACAGCUUCAAGCUGAUCAAGAUUUGCUAGCUGACAGAUGGAUUGAAGUCCUUGCGGCCGAGGAAUAUGAACUCGAACGCCCCUCCAAGAGUUACCCAAAGCGCAGGUUGCUACCCCGACUGGAGGAGGAAGCAUUAAAACCUACAUCUCCAGCAUAUGACGCGGCUGAUCGGCCACCUCGUGGCCGCGACAGAGAGGCAUUUCAGCCAAACGCUCAGCCCGCACCCCGACGCCACUCAAAUAAAAAUGUCAAGGCAUGGGGAAACACGCUAGACCCGCGAGACGUAUUGGAGGACAAAGCGAAACACGCAAUAUCGAUCUAUGGAUCACGAGGGCACGCCACUACGCGAGACGAUAACCGUCACGCCGGAUACAGUAAAAGUAAAUCCUGCCAGGCCGAACACAGCGGACAAGACUCAUUUGAACUGCGUCACGAUAUAGCUCAGUACAGAGGCGCCGCACACCCCCUAUGCUUCACAGACGAAGUAAUGGAUCACCAAAUCCUAGAGGGUUUCAAACCCGUAAAUAUUGAAUCAUACGACGGUACAACAGAUCCCGCGGUAUGGAUCGAGGACUUCCUCCUGCACAUCCACAUGGCCCGCGGUGAUGAUCUACACGCCAUCAAGUACCUCCCACUCAAACUCAAAGGACCAGCUCGGCAUUGGCUCAACAGCCUGCCAACAGAAUCCAUUGGCUGUUGGGAAGAUCUGGAAGCCGCAUUCCUCGACAACUUCCAGGCCACUUAUGUGUGACCACCAGAUGCCGAUGACUUGAGCCACAUAAUUCAGCAGCCAGAGGAAUCGGCCAGGCAAUUCUGGACACGGUUCCUGACAAAGAUAAAUCAAAUUGUCGACUGUCCGGAUGCAGAGGCCCUAGCAGCUUUUAAGCACAACAUCCGCGAUGAGUGGCUCGGCCGGCACCUUGGCCAGGAAAAGCCAAAAUCUAUGGCAGCCCUCACGACACUCAUGACCCGCUUUUGCACGCGAGAGGACAGCUGGCUGGCUCGCAGCAAUAAUAUAUCAAAGAACCAUGGUACUUCGGAUACCAAGGAUAGCAAUGGCAGGUCACGUCGCAACAAACACAAGCGCCGCAUCAACAGCGACAAUACCGAAGAUACAACACUCAAUGCCGGAUUCAGAGGCUCUAAAUCCGGUCAGCGGAAAAAGCCAUUCAAAAGAAGCACCCCGGGCCCGUCCAGUUUGGACCGUAUACUCGAUCGCUCGUGUCAAAUACACGGCACCCCCGACAAGCCAGCCAACCACACCAACAGGGAAUGUUGGGUGUUUAAGUAGGCCGGAAAGUUAAAUGUUGAAAACAAAGAUAAGGGGUUACAUAGCAAAGACGAGGAGGAGCCCCGGCCGCCGAACACUGGAGGACAGAAGAGGUUCCCCCCACAAGUGCGGACGGUGAACAUGAUAUACGCAACCCACAUCCCCAAGAGGGAGCGGAAGCGUGCACUAAGGGACGUAUAUGCGUUGGAGCCAGUCACCCCAAAGUUCAACCCAUGGUCCUCCUGUCCGAUCACCUUCGAUCGCAGGGACCACCCCACUAGUAUCCGUCAUGGCAGAUUCGCCGCACUGGUCCUAGAACCAAUCAUCGAUGAAUUUCACCUCACUCGAGUCCUUAUUGAUGGAGGCAGCAGCCUGAACCUGCUUUAUCAGCACACAGUGCGCAAAAUGGGUAUAGACCCCUCAAGGAUCAAACCCACAAAAACGGCCUUCAAAGGCGUCAUACCAGGUGUAGAGGCCCAUUGCACAGGCUCAGUCACACUGGAAGUGGUCUUCAGAUAACUUCCGAAGCGAGGAGUUAAUCUUUGAUAUAGUCCCGUUCCGGAGUGGCUAUCAUGCACUGCUCGGGCGAACCGCAUUUGCGAGAUUCAAUGUGGUACCGCAUUAUGCAUACCUCAAGCUCAAGAUGCCAGGACCUCGGGGGGUCAUCACAGUCAAUGGAAACAUAGAGCGCACUCUCCGCACGGAGGAGCACACUACAGCCCUCGCAGCAGAAGCACAAAGCAGCCUCUUCAGGCAAUCCACCAGUUCGGUGAUUAAACACUCGGACACUGUCAAGCGCGCCCGGAGUAAUCUGCAACAAGACCGCCUGGCACGCUCCGAGCUCGCAUAGCAAUGCGGCCCCCACCCCAGUCCCCGCCAAACGGUGAAAUCUGUGCCAUGCGUACAUAAUUACGCAUUGAAAAUACCAUGGGCAUAGGUGGGGGGCACGACUAAGGCACGCCCCAAAACGCGGCUCAACUGCACUAGGGGCUUCCCGCCUUAUUAUUUUUUCUCUCUUUCAGGACUUUACUCUCUGGAAACCCCGUCCGGCAGUAUGAUUGUCGGGCACACGAUACGACAACCAAGGAGGCAGAAAGCUACGUCGCAUCAUGGAAUUCCCAGGUCGUCUGUGAUAAUGAGUGAAAUACCUGCUUUAAAUACCAUUCCACAGCUUUCCCUUGGAGGGGACAAGUCAAAUAGUCCUAGUUUUUUUUCUUAUCGCACUACUUGUAUCAUUCUGCUUCGACGCACCUUUUUGAGUAAACAAUGCAUAGCACUAAACUAUUACCGCAUUCUCUAUUCUUAUAUAUAUAUAUAUAUAUGUUCAUUCAUGACAUUCAGCAUCCAUACACUCUGGUACGGCCAAUACGCCAGGGGCUUAAGCAUACCCCAUAAUACGGCGUGAGAAGUCCAAACACUUUCGACAGUGCGGCACCCCGAACUUAUAGCAUUAUAUGCAUCAGCUCCGAAUCAUGUCUUGGGUUAAUAGUUGGGUUUGCCCGGCUCCCAUGUUUUGGUACCUUAUGUUCCGCUACAUCGGCUAAGGUAGCACUGGGAGAAGUACUGCGAUUGUGCCCCGGUUCAUCUGGGAAAGCACCUCAGUAGAGAAAGCUAAAACUGACUGUCAUGAUAAGGAGAGAGUUGGUCCUUGUUCGAGAGGUCUCGAGUCCCUAAAGACUUAUGCCGCUUAGGGCGAGGAGUCGGCUUUGUCCGGCUUAGGCGUGUACAGCGCCCCGAAUUCGGCCUUCCGAAUACUAGGGGCUUCGCCAAAAUUUAAAAUUGUAGACUUCUAUGGCUAAGUGAGAGUGAUAAAGCAUUAUAGUUUGAUUGCCUUGUUCGUUGCGCUGAGCACCUCCCUCGAAGGACCCAACAAUGGGAAAAAGAGUGCUCAGAUUUAUCCCGAACACCCCAGCACUCGUGGCAUGGGGGCAGAAGCCGACGACUGGCCAUCUCUCAGAUUUGAUAAACAGCCGCACAGAAUGUAAUAUUUUAAAUUCAAACAAGCGUUGCAUAGCGCACAUGAACAAGUUUUCAUAAUACAGGAUCACACGAGCAAGUUCAUUCAAAAAUUACAUUCUUCGCACACUCGUCCACCACAAGACAGGCACCCUUCAGGACACCCUCAUAAUACAUCUCAGGGUGGUGAUGCUCCUUGCCCUGCGGCGGCCCCUCCUUCACCAUCUUCUCGGCGUCCAUAUUGGCCCAGUGCACCUUCGCAUAGGCAAAAGCCCAGCGUGCACCUUCGAUGCAGACAGACCGCUUUAUGACUUCCAGCCGUGGGCAGGCAUCCACAAGCCGCCUCACCAGGCCGAAGUAGCUGUUGGGAAGGGAGUCGCCAGGCCACAUCCGGCUAUAAGGCCCCUCAUGGCCUGUUCGGCUGCCUUGUGCAGCUCGACCAGUUGCUUCAACUGGUCGCUCACAGGCAUCGGGUGUUCGGUCCCAGUAUACUGAGACCAGAACAACUUCUCCGUCGAGCUUCCCUCCUCAGCCUGGUAGUUCUUUGCGGCAUCUGACACGCUGCGGGGCAAAUAUGUGAAUGCUCCUAGAGAGCUCCGGAUUCGGGUAAGUAACAAGUAAUUUACUUUCAUAUACUUGCUUUGCAUAAUGAAUGCCUUACCCACCGCUAUCUUCCUCAUCGCCUCAAUUUCCUGGAGGGCCUUUUGGGCUUCAGCCUUGGCAUGCUUUGUCCUCUCGAGGGCCACGGCAAGCUCGGACUCUCGCGUCUUCGAGUCAAGCUCCAAAGUCUCAUGCUUCUUCACGAGAGCCUGGAGCUCUUGCUGCACCUCGCCCACCCGUGCCUCUUGUUUUUACCGCUCGGUGCGCUCCUUGGCCGCUUUGUUUUCGGUCUCGGACAAUGCUUGCUUCAUGGUCGCCACUUCGGUCAUGGCCCCUGGCACAUCCAUGAUGAUCCUAUCAUGAAUGCUCCUAGACAAGGCAUUACUUACCUUUGUUCUCCUCGAGCUGCCUCUUGUCAAGGCGGAGCUCUAUCUCGGACCGCUCGAGGUUCUGCUUCAAUGCAGCGACCUCUGCAGUCAGUGCGGCAGAGGUGAGUAGCGAAGCCUGCAUACACAUAUAGACAUACUUGUAUUAGACUCCUGCAGAUAUUAUUUGAUCCUCUAUUCGGAUUUUCUUUGUGAACACCAAACAGAGCAUCAGGGGCUACUAUCUAUGCGGUAAUAUUUCCCUAUAUUUCAAAUACUUACCUUAAAGCCUGUUAGAAGGCUGGCAUAGGCUUCAGUCAAUCCGCUCUUGGCGGACUGGACCUUCUUGAUCACCACACUCAUAACAGUGCGGUGCUCGUCGUUGAUGGAAGCGCCGCGAAGCGCUCCCAGCAGGUUGUCUGGUGCCUCUGGAUGGACAGAGGUCACCUGCACGGGCGGCUUGCCCCUCUUGGAAGGGGGCUGCCUGCCGGAGUCUGGAACCACUGGAGGUUCCGAUGCGGUGUUUGGCUGAGGGCCAAACUCGGAGCCCUUGGGAGUCUUGCUCCCUUUGCGCCUGGAGUCCGGAAGGUCGCCUUGAGGCGCCUCCGGGACUAUCUCCCCCCGGCUCGGUGCCCCUUGAGACAAUACCUAGACAUUGUGCAUAGGGCAAGGAGAGGAGGCGGUUCGAAGUGUAUCACUAUUCAUACCGACGAGUCCAAGGAACCGUCCGACGAGGAUACGUCGAUACGGGCUCGGGGCGUACUGCAUGAUCAUAUUCGACGUUAGGAGAAGUAGUGCAAUAAAAGUAUGCUAUGAGUUACUCUGGUAUCCGAAUACUUACAACUUCGCCAGGGGCUUGGCCCUGAGUGACCACUCGUCUUCGCUGCCGGCGGCGGUGGUGGAACAAUCCGGAAGAAGAGUCCUUCCCUUCUUGGACCCUUCGGCCUCCCCGGUUGGGGCGGCCUUCCUUUUCUUUUCUCCCCCGGCUGGAGGGGGAGAAUCUUCAUCUUCCUCCUCCUCGUUUUUACGAGAGGAUGAUACGUCUCCAAUGUAUCUAUAAUUUUUUAUUGCUCCAUGCUAUAUUAUCUACUGUUUUGAAUGUUUAUGGGCUUUAUUAUACACUUUUAUAUCAUUUUUGGGACUAACCUAUUAACCCAGAGCCCAUUGCCAGUUUUUGUUUUUACCCUGCUUUAGGGUUUCGAAGAAAAGGAAAAUCAAACGGAGUCCAAUUGACCUGAAACUUCACGGAACUCAUUUUUGGAAGGAAAGAAGCCCAAAAGACUUGGAGUGCACGUCAGGGGACCUGCGAGGAGGUCACGAGGUAGGGGGGCGCGCCCACCCCCCUGGGCGCGCCCUCCACCCUCGUGAUCCCCUCGUGCCCCCCCUAACAUACUUCUGCCGCCUAUAUAUCUCCAUACACCCUAAAAACAUCCAGGAGCACAAUAGAUCGGGAGUUCCGCCGCCAGAAGCCUCCGUAGCCACUGAAAGCCAAUCUAGACCCAUUUCGGCACCCUGCCGGAGGGGGCAAUCCCUCUCUGGUGGCCAUCUUCAUCAUCCCGGUGCUCUCCAUGACGAGGAGGGAGUAGUUCUCCCUCGGGGCUGAGGGUAUGUACCAGUAGCUAUGUGUUUGAUCUCUCUCUCUCUCUCUCUCUCUCUCUCUCUCUCUCGUGUUUUUGAGGUGAUACGAUCUUGAUGUAUCGCGAGCUUUGCUAUUAUAGUUGGAUCCUAUGUUUCUCCUCCCCCUCUUCUCUCUUGUAAUGAAUUGAGUUUUCCCUUUGAAGUAAUCUUACCGGAUUGAGUCUUUAAAUAUUUGAGAACACUUGAUGUAUGUCUUGUCGUGGAUAUCUGUGGUGACAAUGGGAUAUCACGUGAUUCACUUGAUGUAUGUUUUGGUGAUCAACUUGCGGGUUCCUCCCAUGAACCUAUGCAUAGGGGUUAGCACACGUUUUCAUCGUGAUUCUCCGGUAGAACUUUGGGGCACUCUUUGAGGUUCUAUGUGUUGGUUGAAUAGAUGAAUCUGAGAUUGUGUGAUGCAUAUUGUAUAAUCAUACCCACGGAUACUUGAGGUGACAUUGGAGUAUCUAGGUGACAUUAGGGUUUUGGUUGAUUUGUGUCUUAAGGUGUUAUUCUAGUACGAACUCUAGGGCUGUUUGUGACACUUAUAGGAAUAGCCCAACGGAUUGAUUGGAAAGAAUAACUUUGAGGUGGUUUCGUACCCUACCAUAAUCUCUUUGUUCAUUCUCCACUAUUAGUGACUUUGGAGUGACUCUUUGUUGCAUGCUGAGGGAUAGCUAUAUGAUCCAAUUAUGAUAUUAUUGUUGAGAGGACUUACACUAGUGAAAGUAUGAACCCUAGGUCUUGUUUCAACGCAUUGCAAUACCGUUUACGCUUACUUUUAUCAUUAGUUACCUUGCUGUUUUUAUAAUUUCAGUUUACAAAUACUAUUAUCUACUAUCCAUAUUGCACUUGUAUCACCAUCUCUUCGCCGAACUAGUGCACCUAUACAAUUUACCAUUGUAUUGGGUGUGUUGGGGACACAAGAGACUCUUUGUUAUUUGGUUGCAGGGUUGCUUGAGAGAGACCAUCUUCAUCCUACGCCUCCUACGGAUUGAUAAACCUUAGGUCAUCCACUUGAGGGAAAUUUGCUACUGUCCUACAAACCUCUGCACUUGGAAGCCCAACAACGUCUACAAUAAGAAGGUUGUGUAGUAGACAUCAAGCUCUUUUCUGGCGCCGUUGCCGGGGAGUCUACGCAAAAAGUCAACAUACCAAGUACACAUCACAAUCCCUAUCUCUCGCAUUACAUUAUUUGCCAUUUGCCUCUCGUUUUCCACUCCUCCACUUCACCCUUGCCUUUUUAUUCGCCCUCUCUCUCUCUCUAUCCACCCUCUCUUUUUUUGUUUGCCUCUUUUCACUCGCCAUGUCAGAACCAAAAAGAAUUGGGGGUUCUCUUCCAAGUUCUAGUGCUUUAGACAAUCAUGCUAUCUUAUCUAAACUCGUAAAUCGGAAUGCUAUGGAACAACUUGCCGGAGUUAUCAAUGAGAACCUUAGUAAUUUUGAUGAAGAUGAUUCUAGAAUUUUUCGUUGUUUACUUGAUGAAUCUUUGAAAGAUGCUUGGGAUAGGCUAUUAAGGAUCCGGGCUAGCUAUGUACCCCAAUAUCAAAUUGACAUUUACUUAAAAAGCUUUUAUGUUGGGCUACCCGCUUCGUUCAAACAAGUUUUAGAUUCUAUUUUCGAGGGGGGUUUUCUUGAAGGGGACCCCAUAGAUACCUAUGAGAUGAUGAAAACUAUAUUUGGGCACCCCAUUAAUGAGAAAGCUGAAAUCACAUCUCUCUUGCUUUCUUACCAAAACGGAUCUAUUAAAGAGAUAAAAGCUAGCCUAGAUGCCAAUUUCCGCAACAUUCUUAAUCUUUCUUCUACCAUUAAUGGACAUGUACUUUUCCAAAAUAGAAAGAUUAAUUCCAUAGAUAACAAGUUUGCUCUCUUUUUCUCUAAAACCAAACAUGGCAAUACCUAGAUCUAUCCUCGUUUUUAUGCCUAGCCAGGGGCGUUAAACGAUAGCGCUUGUUGGGAGGCAACCCAAUUUUAUUUUAGUUCCUUGCUUUUUGUUCCUGUUUAAUAAUAAAUAAUCCAUCUAGCCUCCGUUUAUAUGUGGUUUUAUGUGUUUAAUUAGUGUUUGUGCCAAGUAGAACCUUUGGGAAGACUCGGGAAAAGUCUUGUUGAUCAUGCUGUAAAAAACAGAAACUUUAGCGCUCACGAUAAUUACUGCCAUUUUUAUUUGGAGAGUGCUAUUUAGUUAAUUCUUUUUGAAGAUGAUUAAUAUAUAAAUUCCUCAGGUCCACCAAUUUAUUUGAGAAUUUUAUGAGUUCCAUAAGUAUACGUUUGAUCCAGAUUACUACAGACUGAUCUGUUUUUGACAGAUUCUGUUUUUCAUGUGUUGUUUACUUAUUUUGAUGAAUCUCUGGCUAGUAAAAUAGUUUAUAAACUAUAUAGAAGUUGGAAUACAGUAGGUUUAACACCAAUAUAAAUAAAUAAUGAGUUCAUUACAGUACCUUGAAGUGGUGAUUUAUUUUAUACUAACGGAGCUUACGAGUUUUCUGUUAAGUUUUGUGUUGUGAAGUUUUCAAGUUUUGGGUAAGGAUUCGAUGGACUAUGGAAUAAGGAGUGGCAAGAGCCUAAGCUUGGGGAUGCCCAUGACACCCCAAGGUAAUAUUCAAGUACAAACAAGAGCCUAAGCUUGGGGAUGCCCCGGAAGGCAUCCCCUCCUUCGUCUUCGUUCAUCGGUAACUUUACUUGGAGCUAUAUUCACCACAUGAUAUGUGUUUUGCUUGGAGCGUCAAUUUAUUUUAUUAGGAUUUUCUUGAUGUUAUUUAUAAAAAUGUUUUGCAUCUUUUAUUUCAAUAAAAGUGGCAUUGAUAGCCUUUACUAUGCCUAUGUUACAAGUACACAUGUUGCUGUUUGAAAACAGAAAGUUUACCACUGUUGCAAUAAUUCCCUAGAAAAGUCAGAAUGUGAUAAAAUGUUGAAACCUUUUGCAUAUUAAGAUCUGAUAAAUUUACUACAGUGGUAAUUUUCUUUCGUAAUUUUUGGAGCUAGGUAAGUAUGGAUGUUGCUGCAUUCUUUACAGACUAUCCUGUUUAGGCAGAUUGCUGUUAUGUUUGCAUUGUUUGCAUAUGUUUGCUUCUUUAAUGAUUCUAUUUGAGGAUAGAACUAUUAAAUAUGCAGAGUAAUUUAGUAUGCAAUGUUGAAUAAUAAUUUUAGUGAUUUGCUACAGUAGAGUAUGAUAAGGUUUUUGCAAUGGUUUAUACUAACUUAUCUCACGAGUCCUUUUUGAGUUUUGUGUGGAUGAAGCUUUUGAGAUUUAGGGAGACCGUGAUAUGAGAGGAAUUAAGGAGACACAAAAGCUCAAGAUUGGGGAUGCCCAAGGCACCCAAAGAUAAUAUUUCAAUAAGUAUCAAGCAUCUAAGCUUGGGGAUGCCCCGGUUGGCAUCCCACCUUUCUUCUUCAACAAUUAUCGGUUAGUAUCGGUUGAUCCUAAGUUUUUGCUUCUUCACAUGAUGUAUGAUAUUCUUAGAUGUCAUUUUAUUUAGUUUUGCUUGCUGUUUGAAUAAAGUAUCAAGGUAUGAAAUUAUUGAAUGGGAGAGUCUUCACAUAGUAGCACAAUUAUUCAACUACUCAUUGAUCUUCACUUAUAUCUUUCGGAGUAGUUUGUCAUUUGCUCUAGUGCUUCACUUAUAUAUUUUAGAGCAUGGUGGAAGUUUUAUUUUGAAGAAAUAGAUGAACUCUCAUGCUUCACUUAGAUUAUUUUGAGAGUCUUAAAUAGCAUGGUAAUUUUCUUGAAAUCCUAAUAUGCUAGGUAUUCAAGAAUAAUAAAAUUCUCUUAUGAGUGUGUUGAAUACUAUGAGAAGUUUGAUACUUGAUAAUUCUUUUGAGAUAUGAGGAUGGUAAUAUUAGAGUCAUGCUAGUUGAGUAGUUGUGAAUUUGAGAAAUACUUGUGUUGAAGUUUGUGAUUCCCGUAACAUGCACGUAUGGUGAACCGUUAUGUGAUGAAGUCGGAGCAUGAUUUAUUUAUUGAUUGUCCUCCUUAUGAGUGGUGGUCGGGGACCAGCGAUGGUCUUUUCCUACCAAUCUAUCCCCCUAGGAGCAUGCACGUAGUACUUUGUUUAGAUAACUAAUGGAUUUUUGCAAUAAGUAUGUGAGUUCUUUAUGACUAAUGUUGAGUCCAUGGAUUAUACGCACUCUCACCCUUCCACCUUUGCUAGCCUCUCUAAUACCGCGCAACUUUCGCCGGUACCAUAAACCCACCAUACACCUUCCUCAAAACAGCCACCAUACCUACCUAUUAUGGCAUUUCCAUAGCCAUUCCGAGAUAUAUUGCCAUGCAACUUUCCACCAUUCCAUUAUUAUGACAGGCUUCAUCAUUGUCAUAUUGCUUUGCAUGAUCAUGUAGUUGACAUCGUAUUUGUGGCAAAGCCACCGUUCAUAAUUCUUUUAUACAUGUCACUCAUGCAUCAUUGCACAUCCCGGUACACCGCCGGAGGCAUUCAUAUAGAGUCAUAUCUUGUUCUAAGUAUCGAGUUGUAAUUCUGGAGUUGUAAGAAAAAUAAAAGUGUGAUGAUCAUCAUUAUCAGAGCAUUGUCCAAGUGAGGAAAGGAUGAUGGAGACUAUUAUUCCCUCAUAAGUCGAGAUGAGGCUCCGGACGAAAAUAAAUAAAUAAAAGAGUCCAAAGAAGCCCAAAUAAAAAAAGAAGAAAAUAGGCCAUAAAAAAGAGAAAGCCCAAAUAAAAAAAUGAGAGAAAAAGAGAGAAGGGGUAAUGCUACUAUACUUUUACCACACUUGUGCUUCAAAGUAGCACCAUGAUCUUCAUAAUAGAGAGUCUCCUAUGUUGUCACUUUCAUAUACUAGUGGGAAUCUUUCAUUAUAGAACUUGCCUUGUAUAUUCCAAUGAUGGGCUUCCUCAAAAUGCCCUUGGUCUUCAUGAGCAAGCAAGUUGGAUGCACACCCACUUAGUUUCUUUUUGAGCUUUCAUAUACUUAUAGCUCUAGUGCAAUUGCAUGGAAAUCACUACUCGCUCACAUUGAUAUCUAUUGAUGGGCAUCUCCAUAGCCCGUUGAUACGCCUAGUUGAUGUGAGACUAUCUUCCCCCUUUUUGUCUUCUCCACAGCCACCACUCUAUUCCACCUAUAGUGCUAUAUCCAUGGCUCACGUUCAUGUAUUGCGUGAAGAUUGAAAAAGUUUGAGAACAUCAAAAGUAUGAAACAAUUGCUUGGCUUGUCAUCGGGGUUGUGCAUGAUUUAAAUAUUUUGUGUGGUGAAGAUAGAGCAUAGCCAGACUAUAUGAUUUUGUAGGGAUAGCUUUCUUUGGCCAUGUUAUUUUGAGAAAACAUAAUUGCUUAGUUAGUAUGCUUGAAGUAUUAUUGUUUUUAAGUCAAUAUUAAACUUUUGUCUUGAAUCUUAUGGAUCUGAAUAUUCAUACCACAAUUAAGAAGAAUUACAUUGAAAUUAUGCCAAGUAGCACUCCACAUCAAAAAUUCUGUUUUUAUCAUUUACCUACUCGAGGACGAGCAGGAAUUAAGCUUGGGGAUGCUGAUACGUCUCCAACGUAUCUAUAAUUUUUGAUUGCUCCAUGCUAUAUUAUCUACUAUUUUGAAUGUUUAUGGGCUUUAUUAUACACUUUUAUAUAAUUUUUGGGACUAACCUAUUAACCUAGAGCCCAGUGCCAGUUUCUGUUUUUACCCUGCUUUAGGGUUUCGAAGAAAAGGAAAAUAAAACGGAGUCCAAUUGACCUGAAACUUCACAGAACUCAUUUUUGAAAAGAAAGAAGCCCAGAAGACUUGGAGUGCACGUCGGGGGACCUACGAGGAGGUCACGAGGCAGGGAGGUGCGCCCUCCACCCUCGUGAGCCCCUCGUGGCACCCCUGACGUACUUCUUCCGCCUAUAUAUCUCCAUAUACCCUAAAAACAUCCAGGAGCACAAUAGAUCGGGAGUUCCACCGCCAGAAGCCUCCGUAGCCACCGAAAGCCAAUCUAGACCCAUUCCGGCACCCUACCGGAGGGGGAAAUCCCUCUCCGGUGGCCAUCUUCAUCAUCCCGGUGCUCUCCAUGAUGAGGAGGGAGUAGUUCUCCCUCGGGGCUGAGGGUAUGUACCAGUAGCUAUGUGUUUGAUCUCUCUCUCUCUCGUGUUCUUGAGGUGAUACGAUCUUGAUGUAUCGCGAGCUUUGCUAUUAUAGUUGGAUCCUAUGUUUCUCCUCCCCCUCUUCUCUCUUUUAAUGAAUUGAGUUUCCCCUUUGAAGUAAUCUUAUCGGAUUGAGUCUUUAAAGAUUUGAGAACACUUGAUGUAUGUCUUGCCGUGGAUAUCUGUGGUGACAAUGGGAUAUCACGUGAUUCACUUGAUGUAUGUUUUGGUGAUCAACUUGCGGGUUCCUCCCAUGAACCUAUGCAUAGGGGUUGGCACACAUUUUCGUCGUGAUUCUCCGGUAGAACUUUGGGGCACUCUUUGAGGUUCUAUGUGUUGGUUGAAUAGAUGAAUCUGAGAUUGUGUGAUGCAUAUCGUAUAAUCAUACCCACGGAUACUUGAGGUGACAUUGGAGUAUCUAGGUGACAAUAGGGUUUUGGUUGAUUUGUGUCUUAAGGUGUUAUUCUAGUACGAACUCUAGGGAUGUUUGUGACGCUUAUAGGAAUAGCCCAACGGAUUGAUUGGAAAGAAUAACUUUGCGGUGGUUUCGUACCCUAGCAUAAUCUCUUCGUUCGUUCUACACUAUUAGUGACUUUGGAGUGACUCUUUGUUGCAUGUUGAGGGAUAGUUAUAUGAUCCAAUUAUGUUAUUAUUGUUGAGAGGACUUACACUAGUGAAAGUAUGAACCCUAGGCCUUGUUUCAACGCAUUUCAAUACCGUUUACGCUUACUUUUAUCAUUAGUUACCUUGCUGUUUUUAUAAUUUCAGUUUACAAAUACUAUUAUAUACUAUCCAUAUUGCACUUGUAUCACCAUCUCUUCGCCGAACUAGUGCAUCUAUACAAUUUACCAUUGUAUUGGGUGUGUUGGGGACACAAGAGACUCUUUGUUAUUUGGUUGCAGGGUUGCUUGAGAGAGACCAUCUUCAUCCUACGCCUCCUACGGAUUGAUAAACCUUAGGUCAUCCACUUGAGGGAAAUUUGCUACUGUCCUACAAACCUCUGCACUUGGAGGCUCAACAACGUCUACAAGAAGAAGGUUGUGUAGUAGACAUCAGAGGAGUGUGUCUUGGAGUUAUCGGACGAUGAGUCUGAUACCACCUGGCGCCGGGAACUCUUUCGAGUUCCCGUGGCCUUCUUCUUGAUCUUCUUCUCCAUCACCCCAUAAGGAGCCAGAGUCCGCAUCUUCGUAAGGAGAGCGUCUGCAGGGUCUUCGGGCAGAGGGGUCGGACAGUCAAUCUGCUCUGAUGUCUCCACCCAGUCCUGUCAAAGGCAUGGGAGCCCAGAUCCCGCACAUGGUUAAACUAUGGAAAAUAAAUACCCUACGAGAUGUAUAGAACUUACCGGAUUUGCAGGACGCGUCGCACUUAACCCGCGAUCCUCGGUAAGGGGAGGGGAGACCUCGGCGCCCUUAAACAGCACCUUCCAGACGUUCUUAUGCGUCGUGUCGAAGAGCUCGCGUAGAGUCUGGUGCUAGGCCGGGUCGAACUCCCAUAAGUUGAAAGCCCGUUGUUGACACGGGAGGAUCCGGCGGAAGAGCAUGACCUGGACUAUGUUGACGAGCUUAAGUUUUUUCUUAUCAUGUUCCGGAUACACUUCUGGAGUCCGUCCAGCUCCACCGAUGAGCCCCAGGACAGGCCCUUCUCCUUCCAGGAAGUAAGCCGAGUGGGGAUUCCGGAUCGAAACUCGGGGGCCGCCACCCAGUUGGUGUCGCGCGGCUCGGUGAUGUAGAACCACCCCGAUUGCCACCCCUUUAUGGUCUCCACGAAGGAGCCCUCGAGCCAUGUAAUGUUGGGCAAUUUUCCCACCAUGGCUCCGCGGCAUUCCGCUUGUUGGCCGCCUACUACCUUCGGUUUCACAUUGAAGGUCUUCAGCCACAGGACGAAGUGGGGCCAGAUGCGGAGGAAAGCCUCGCACACGACGAUGAACGCCGAGAUGUUGAGGAUGAAAUUCUGGGCCAGAUCAUGGAAGUCCAGCCCAUAAUAAAACAUAAGGCCGUGGACGAAUGGCUAGAGGGGAAACGCCAGUCCGCGGACGAAGUGGGUGAGGAAAACCACCCUUUCGUGAGGUUCUGAGGUAGGGACGAUCUGCCCCGCGGCUGGCAGCUGGUGCGCGAUAUCCGCGGCUAAGUAUCCGGCCCCACGCAGCCUUUUGAUGUCUCCCUCCGUAAUGGAGGAGACCAUCCACUUGCCUCCCGCUC
rnacentral:lncRNA from 1 species